GGGGUGGUCUCCUUGGCCGACGUCUUGGGAGGCUGCCCUUGUGUUUUCUUCUUGGGCGGGGGCGCCGAUGUCUCGCCCGAACUCUUCCUUUUCGACCUCUUCGCCACUUCGGCACCUGAGCUCGACGUGAUGAUGUCGGACAAUUUGGUCACUGCACAAAGAGCAAAUAUUAUCAUAUGCCUUAGCCGAAGUGAAAUCAAAGCUAUGAAAGAAAAUUACAAGGUAUCUUAAGUUUAGUGGAGGUGAAGGGAGUCUUGUCAGGAGGAAUCAAAGCUCGGCUAAUUCCCCCGUCAACCAGCACGGCUUCGGGGUAGUCCAGACUGUAUAUCCGAAGUCCCGACCCCAUCAGCUUCUGGAAGUCCUCCUCCUUGGCAUCCCCAGCAGAGGGAUCGGCCUUCGCUUUGAUUGGCCUCCACCAAAAGCCCCUGGGGAAGUCCACUUCGGACACAAAGAAGUAGUCACGCUUCCAAUUCUUGAUUGAGCUGGGAGCGCCGACCACCAACUUCGGAAUGGCAUUGUUCCGAUUGCCAACAUAAAACCAUCCCUUGUCCGUCCCGUGCGCCUUGAGGGUAUAGCAUCGGCGGAAGAGGUCGACAGACGGAGUCACCUCCAGAUGUCGGCACAGCAUCUCGAACCCAAUAAUGAUGCGGAUCGCGUUCGGGGUGAGUUGGGUAAUCCUCACGCCGAAGUGACGAAGUAAGUCCCUGAAGAACCUCGACGUGGGCAUCCUCAGCCCGGCCUCCAACUGUUGGACAUAGAUGGCCACCAUGCCAAUGGGGGGCUUCUCGGCUGAGUCAUCCACCCCGGGCGUUGUGAUCUCGUACCCCGACCGGAAAGGGUAAUUGUUUAUCACCUUCACGGCCCUAUCCCUUCCGAUGCGACUUCUAAACUUCGGCAUCUUGCCGAAGUCGAUGUUGGAUGUAUCUUCGGGAGCGACAUGCUCCAGUGCGUCCUCGUCGUGUGGUAUCUCGACACCGAGCUCCUCAUCAUAGGCCACUUCGGAGCCACCCUCGCUCAUCUCGGAUGACUCCAACUCGACGUCAACCUCCUCGCGGGCCUCCUCGGUGGAUCCUUCCCCAGAGCUCGGCGUCGACCCAUCCGAGCUGGACGUCGUCGCUUCUUCUUCAGGAUCCGGCCUCACCUCGGUCCGAUAGCUCGGAGUCACGGUCUCUCUAUGGGUCUUAGCCGUUUUGGCCAUGUGUGUAAGACGAAAUGAAAAAAAUGAUACUUACUGUUGUCUACGGAACUGGACGAAGUUGAUGACCUCGGCAGUGAUCUCGGCUGGGAAGGCUGACCUCGGCAACACCCGCAAAGUUGGCAAGUUUCAGCAAAAGAGGAAAAAGUGUGGGGAGCUGGUGAAAAGGGACCCCCUAUUUAUAGGGGCCCCAGGAGAAUCCGAAGAGGCGACAAGAAUGCGAAAGGACGGCCACGUUCGAAUUCAAAACGCCGUGCCUCCCUCUCUUCUCAUUAAUGCCCCGUCCUUUCAGCUGACACCCUCUGCACGAAACGUCCCACUACUUCACGACGCGACGGUUACCAGUGACCACGUCCUAUCAGCUGACCUGCCCACGUGUCACGUCCCCGCAUUUCUCGGAGCAGUUUCGGGACUCCGACUUUCUACGACUUCGGCACAAGGAAGCCUCAGAACCUCCCUAGCCCGGAGCUCCCGAUGCUUGGGGGGCUUAUUGAGGAGGCUCACCUCGGCCAUCCCGCAUGCCCGAGGUGAACUCACCUCGUCCCUCAUCAGAGCUCGUCCGCGUCUCGGGGUUAUCCCCUAAGCUCGGCUAAAUCCCUAGUCUACCGGGUAGGUGAUCUCGGCACCUCCACCUCAGCUGCACGCUGAUGAUGUCAGGACACCUGACAUCACCCGGGCUCAGUGUGCUUUAUCUGAAAAGCACUGUUGCACUUAAUGGCUACUGCAAAGGACUCCUCGUCACCCUGUCCGGGCGGCUACAGUGUCAGAGUCAGGCCAUCUGACAGGGAGCAGAGCCGUAAUGGCAGGACAUGGGUCCCACCGGCAUAAGACCUCCGUCCUGCCUUCCAUUCUCACUCUAUAAAUACCCCACACACUCCCAACAAGUAAGACACACUGUUCAUUCUCAUAUACUAUUAUCUUUCUCGUUCUCAUACUAACUUAAUCGUCGGAGUGAUACCAGGGGAGAAGCCCCGCCAUCCACUUCGGCCACGAGGAUACACCUCACCUCAACCCAGAGAGGUCUGAUUUAGGUCGGUCCAACUACCCGCCAAAAAUCGCCUCUUCAUCUUCCAUUUUCCAAGAAAACAUCAAAUUUAAGGCAGCAAGCUGGUGAAGUUGUUUUCUAUUGCGGGGAGAGAAGAAGACGAGUGGGUUUUCUACUAUCCUUAGUAGGAGGAUAUGGCACAGGACGAUGUUAAUUGCUGUGAGUCGAAGUUUUUUCUGUUCUUAGCAAUAAUUGUGGGAUUGGUGCUAUUUGCUGGGCUCAUGGCUGGUCUCACCCUUGGCCUUAUGUCACUGGGACUCGUCGACCUCGAAGUUCUUAGUAAAUCUGGACGCCCCCAAGAUCGUAUCCACGCCUGUCUGUGUUUCUUCUAUUCCUCUGCAUCCUAGUGUCUGUGUGAACUAAAUGGUGAUGAUGUUGUCGCUUUUACGGUUUUACAGCUGGAUUAACACGAGAUCCUUGAUUUCAAUUAAGGGCUUUUUUUAUCAAAAAAAUUAAUAAAGAUUAGAGCUUGCCCUUUUCUUUAAUUGUUGUCGGUACUGUAUAUGUUUGUCUGUUGUGCGUGCUUACAAAUAGUACUGGUGUCUCAGAAUUUUGAUUUCCUGAAGCAUCAGGGUAGUAUUAUGGUAAUGGAAUGUGAUGAAGUUAAACAGUACUAGCUAUAAACUUUUGAAAGAAUUCAUUGUUGUGCUUACAUAAGUUUAUGUUGAUACUUUUGUUCCAGAGCAAAAAAAUAUUGAAACCUAGACCGGACUUGUGCUUAAAUAAAUUUAGGGGCAAAUUGAUCUAUCAAAAUAGUAUUGGAUUUGCUAUGCUGUGUUUUGCAUGAUGAUUGAUUCACGAUAAGGUCAAGGUAUAUGACGUGUAUGUGUGGUUAGUAUCCCUAUUGAAAUCAUCUGUUUUGGCAGCUAAAAUACUUCCAGUGGUAAAAAAUCAACACCUAUUGCUUUGUACUCUCUUGAUCGGCAACUCUUUAGCUAUGGAGGUUUGUAGAAGUUUUAUUUGUUUGCUCAUUUUGUUCUCAAAGAUCCGAUACUGACCACUCUUGUUCUUUUUUCCUCCCACAGUCUCUUCCUAUUUUGUUGGACAAGCUUGUGCCUCCAUGGGCAGCAAUUCUAAUAUCUGUAACACUCAUCCUCAUGUUUGGAGAGGUUUUUUUCCUUAUCAACAGAACUCUAGAUCCUUGGUUCUUGACCAUUUAUGCUUGUGCGGGGAUUAUGUGAUCUUUCUCAUGCAAGUGUUAUUUGUUGCAGAUACUUCCUCAAGCAAUCUGCACUCGUUAUGGAUUGACUGUUGGGGCAACAGUGGCACCCUUUGUCCAUCUUCUUCUGUGGAUAUUCUUCCCUGUUGCUUAUCCAAUCAGUAAGGUACUCUUAUCGUACCUCUAAACAGCUAUUUCAUUAGAGAAGAAAUGUCAUCUUUUUGUAUGUGGAAACAAAUUAAAAACCUAAUAAGUUAGUCAUUUCAUCAAAUGGCUAUGAUAUCAGGUAACCGUGUUAUUAUUGCUCCGAUUUAAAUUUAAUAUCUUUUAUCAAUUUGAUUCUAGGUACUGGACCGGAUGUUGGGGAAAGGGCAUGCUGCCCUUUUACGCAGAGCAGAGCUUAAAACAUUUGUGGAUUUUCAUGAAAAAGAGGUAUCCAAUCAAAAUUUCAAGUUUGCCAAGUUCAUUGGAUCCAUAUGUUUACAUUGACAGAUGCAUGUUAUUGCGUCUAUAUGUGUCUGUUUGUCAAAUGUAUCAUGUGACACAGUAGUCUCUGAAUACUUUCUGAUUUGAAGAGUUUUAUGUUUUUUUUUAAAAGAAAAACUUGGUUAUUCUUCGGAUUGAUUCUCACCUACAAUACCAAUGUUCAUAUUCUCCCAAAAGGCUGGAAAAGGUGGUGAUUUGACACAUGAUGAGACAACAAUAAUUGCUGGGGCGCUUGAAUUGACUCAGAAGACCGCAAGAGAUGCCAUGACCCCCAUAUCAAAGGCAUUUUCUCUUGAUCUGGAUGGAACACUCAAUUUGUGCGUUUAUUUCUUGCUUGUAAAUUUGAUUAUUCUGUUUUUGAAGUGAUGUUUGUUGUCUAAUCUCUUCCUUUCCAUGUGCAGGGAGACACUUAAUGCUAUAAUGACUAUGGGCCAUAGUAGAGUUCCUGUUUAUUACAAAGAUCCGACUAAUAUUAUUGGUCUUAUAUUGGUAAUUAUCUUUCUUAAUGUCGGUGGUCUUAUAUUGGUAAUUAUUUUUCUUAAUGUGGGUGGUCUCGUUAAUGGAUUGUUGAUAAUGCACAUUUUCAUGGGUGGCUUAGGCCUGUUACUGAUGAUUAUCUUUUUUGCACUUGGUUGUAUACCUAAUAUUUAGUAUGCCAAGAUUUAUGAGCGAAUUUCUGUAUAAUAUAUUCUUUAAUUUCUACUAUGUGCAGGUAAAAAAUCUUUUAGCUGUUGACCCAGAAGAUUCAGUUCCUUUGAGGAAAAUGACAAUCAGAAAAAUUCCUCGGUAAGGAUGACCUCAAUCUCUCUUUGGCAGGCCCAAUAAAUCCCUGGUACUCCUGAAUAGAUUUUAUGUGGCUGGUUAGAAUGAGACAUUUUUUAGGUCAUGCAGUUACACUGUUAUAGUUAGGUCUCGACUCUGUAAUCGUAGCUGCACAUUUUCUGCAACAACACAAGAUUGCAAAAGAAGCAGUUCUUGGUGUUAAACACCUUUAAGUAAUUGAAGGCUUUCCUAGUUUCUAUGCUAGUAAGGAGUUGGUGAUAUACAUUUAUUAGAGAUCACCUUUGACAAUUCUGAUAGUGAAAGUCUUGGAUACUGACCUUUGUAAAUGUCAGUUAGGUCAAAUCUGAUUAAUCUCCAGGAAUAGCUCUAAUCUUGAUAUAUGGGUUUGAUUCAGGUUCUAAUUUGAUUGCAAUGACUUCUACUUCACUUGUUGUGGAGGUCAGAUAGACUCUACCUGACAAUUGACCAAGGGAAGAACUUAAUUCCUAGUGUUUCUAUCUCUCUUUAUGCACUUGAUCUUUUGACAAGCAUUGCAUGACUUGUUCUCUUAACACAAGUAUGAUAAAUUCUUAAUUGCUUAUUUCUCCUAUAGCAUCACCUCUCUUGCUGUCUAUAUCAUAUUCCCUUGUUGUUGUAUGAUAUUUUGUUGGGGAUGCCUUCUUUUUCAUGCCAGUUAACAUUUUAAUUACUUGCAUGCCUUUGUCAUACUAAUUUUUUCUUGGUUCUUUCUUGAGCAUUAGUUGUAUAAGAUUCUUUGUGUAACUAAAAAUUUAUUGGUGCUUCCUCAGGGUUGCAGAAAACAUGCCUCUAUACGAUAUAUUGAAUGAGUUUCAGCAGGGCCACAGCCACAUUGCCGUUGUGUAUGAAGAUCUCAACAAGACAAAAGAGACGCCAAAGAAAACUAAAGGUUGAAACUUUGAGGCAGCUUCUUGCAACUUGUGGCAACAUGUGAUUUCCCCCCCUUAUGUUAAACUCUCACUUAAGUCCAAACUGUCAAUGCUCUUUUUGCUUAUGUUUUUUAAGCUUCCUUACUAGUGAAACCAAGUCAAUCCUAACUUUUCACUUUUGUAGAUUUUUGUUUUCCUUAGCCUCGUCUAUUUUGAUCAAUUUUAUGCUUUAGUGCUGUCUUUACGAAUAUGCUGUUUCCUGAGCGAACUAUUUUUGAGAAUAUGACAGCUUGCUUGGCAAGUAAUGGAAUUUGAUGUGUGAACCCAAUUGCAGAUCCUGACACUGCUGCAGUUAAAUCUGACUCAGUUGAUGCUUCCUUGAGCAAGGGAGGUGCAGAUCAAGCGAAGAAGAAAAGUCCUCCUCCUACUCCUGCUUUUAAGAAGAGACACAGGGGUUGUUCAUUUUGCAUUUUGGAUUUGGAAAAUACUCCAAUCCCUGAGUUCCCACCCAAUCAUGCGGUGCUAGGUGUAAUUACCAUGGAAGAUGUCAUCGAGGAGCUUCUUCAGGUACUUGAGAUAUCAUAUUUUUCUUUCUAGUCAUUUUUUAACUUGAACUAGUGGCCAUAGGUCUUUGUUGCUUACAAGGGCAUGAAGAAUUGAUGGCUCUUUUUUGUCUUCACUCUUCAGAACAAUUCUUUUUAAAGUACAUUUGGGCCUUUCAGUGGUUAUGCACCCUUUAUGGGUAUUUAAAAGCUUAAUGAAUUGACCGCUUGUUAGCUGCUUCUAAUACCUUGCGUACAAAUCUUCAUCACUGCAUAUACCUUUUUUGCAGGAGGAGAUAUUGGAUGAAACUGACGAGUAUGUAAACAUUCACAACAGGUAAGCACAUAUUUCCAUUUGUUGGUUUAUCACAGGCUUCAUAGGUAAAUCCUUGGGUAAAUUGAAUAAGAUCAUGCCAACUCCCACAAGAUUUAGUCUUGGUUGUCUAUGCCAAAAAGCCUUGCAGCCUCUGUCAAAACACUGGACCCUGCACCUGCGAGAGGGUUAGGAGGAUAAUUUCUUCACAAUGCCAGCGAAGAGGGGCCAUUCAUCCAGGAAUUAAAAUGCUUUAGUGUUAAACACAAGUAAAGCUCUUAGAAGGAAGUUGAGAACAUAAACAAAACAUAUUAACUAAAUGCUUUCUGUUGCAGGAUUAAGAUUAAUAUGAAUGCGUCGCAGGAAAAGCUUCCCGAAUUAAAUGCUAUAGAGUCUUCUCGUUCACAUACUGCCUCAGAGGUUCCUGGUCCUCACAGCGAUCAGCCGGUCUAUGCCAGAACUUCACGAUAACAGGCCCUCCAGUUACCACACUGUACCACUGUUAAAGUGUUCAAGAGAGCUUCGUUUAGCCGUCCUCAUUGUUCACUGUACAAUCGUUAGGCUUUGCGUCUGAUACUCCAAGGGAUCAAUUGUAUCAUAUUGUUGUAACUUACAAACAAAUGUUAUACUUCUACUUCUGAAAAAAGCAAUAUAUUUCAUCAUAGAAGUUUGAUCAAAUUUGGACAUAAGAAGAGUGCGAGCUGUGUAUUCCACCGCCCAGUUUACUUUUUCCCAUAUGUUGUGGAAAAUUACAUAUCUAGAUAAUGAAUUAAGUCCUUUAGGUUGUGAUAAGGAUUUUCUUCUGUUAUUGGUGAGUUAAAGAUUUGUGGUUCGUCUUGGACUGUUUGUGUGUAGAUACUGAUAUAGUACAACUAGAUAUGGCCAUGGUUUCAGAAUCGUCGGUUUUAGUUUAAAACUGACAAAUUCGAUUUUUUAGAAAGGUGAAACCAAUCUGUCUUGUAGGAAUGGUUACAGUUACUGUUCUUGAAUUUUCGAUUUCGAUUUAAAAACUGACGAUUUUGAUUUCUGUUUCAGUUGUCGUUAUAAAAUUGAUUUUAAGAAAAUAUGACAAUGAAUGUAAAUAAAAAAAAGAACUUUAUUGUUUUAUUAUGUGCAAAGAAAAAGAAAAAUUGAUGUAUAUUUUAUGAAAAAAAUAUUAGAUUGGUCUUGAAUUUAUAUUAGUCAUGGAAUAUAGACUUACUAAUAGAAUGGGAUAAUGGAUGGUUGGUUUAGGAUUGGAAUUACUGGUAUUAGAUGUUGACUAUUGAUAUUGAAUUCUAAAUUGAUCAAAUAUUUUCUUAGUCUCACUUUGAGAGUCUUUUUUCUUUUUUGCACACAAUUUGAGAAAAAUUAGUUGGCUUUAUUGGAAAAGUAAAUCUAUUAUAUUAUUUUUCUAAAACACCCUCACGUUAAUAUUAAUAAUAUGACCAAUCACGAUACUUUUACAUUAAUUAUAACGAUAAUUUUGAUAGAAAGUUGUAUUAUUCAAGGCAGGAAUUAAAACAAUUAUUGAAUAAGGUGGGUUAUAUUUAGUGAUAACAAAGUAUAUUAAAUAACAGCAUUUUAGAGAAGUUAAAAAUUAAUUAUAUUUUUUAAUUGAAAAGUAAACUAUAAUUUAAAAUAGAUGAAAAAUGAAAAUAGGACUAUCAAAAUGAAACGAAGAGAGUAAAUUUAGGUAGCAAAUAUUUUUCUAUACGAUUUGAAAAUUGCCAGUUUUGGUUCAAAAUUUUUUGAUAAACUUGAAUUAAAUUUUUAGUUAGGAUUAUUAUAGUUUCGAUUCCAAUUUUCAAAAUUUGAUUUGAUUUCGGUUCAACAAAUUAUCGGUACUGGUUCAAAUCUUAACCUUGGCCACCCUAAGUACAACUUCAUCCGAUCAUCCGGUCACAUAUUAUGGAACAACUCUCCCAAAUCAAUCUUAGUAUGAGUUUAAUUUUCCAGACAAUCGAAAGAGAAAAACCAUGACUGGAAGGCUAAUUAAAAUUGUUUUGAUUAAAUAUUUAAGUGCAGGCCAAUGGCCAUUGACCAUCUUUCCUCCUGCUGUCCAGAAACUCGCAAAGACAGCCCCCGAUAACAUUGGCAAUUGCCAACACGAUGUAAUCUCGAAAUUUAUAUGUUCUAGUAUAAGAACAUGGAUGGAUUUACUGCUAAAUUUCUUCCUUCUUUAUUAACCAUCUCCAUAGAUAAUAGAAAUAAGUAAUACUCCACUACUAUUAUUAGUGCUACUCCUAGAUCCUAAUUACGAUACAACCCCGGGCAUCUUGGGGGUUAAUCUUAAGUUGCUUGCUUUGCAUCACCAGAUCGUUAGAAUCUUAAAUUAGAUUCCCACUGCUAAAACUUGACCUGGGUUUCCUCUCGUUUCUUUGAAUCCACUUCUUGAUCUUCCUUUCCUUCUACACUUCUUUUUACAGUUAAAACUUCACUGUCUUCCACCUCUUAACCGUCCAGAAGUGCGCAUUUCCAUCGUUCUUGGGCUCCCAGAUACUUUUCCCUAGUUUAUUUUACAUUGGUUUAGAUGAUUGCUGGGGUUGCAGGUACUGAUGUUAAAGACACAAAACAUUUAUGGCAAUAGCAAAGUUUGGUCGGCUGGCAAAACGGUCUUAUAAAUCAUAUGGGUUCUGUGUGAAGUUAACUGCAGUAGUAAUCUUGGGUCUUUGUUUUGUAUUUGUUUGGUCUGUUUUUUCACCCUCCAAAUUUUCUGUGACUUCCCAAAGAGAGACUUUUGAUGAUUUUGCUGAACCCGUAUCUGCAAAUGGAAGAGUUACUGAUUCUGGGGUUCAUUUCAACAAGAACGAACUCAAGAAUGGUAAAGAAAGUAGCUCAGAAAAGAAAGGUCAAAUCUUGGAAGAAAAAGACAAGAAAAGGGUUAAAGGUUCUCCACCGUUGAAAUCUGGGAAUAUGCAUAAAGAUCAGAAAAAUGUACCAAAAGGGAAGAAACAAGGGGAUAAAAGUCCGAGGCAUACCAAACAGGCUGGUGAGCAGAAAAUUCCAGAAAAGGAGAGAUCUGAGAGCGAUGAUUUGCAGGAAGAAAAGCAAGAUGAGGAUGUGAAUGGCAGUGAAGAAGACACAGAAAAUGGUGAGGCAAAUUUAAAUGAGGAGGGGGAAGGGGUCCAAGGGGAUACUGAUUUAGCUAAUGCUUUGGAUUUGGACGAGGAAGGAGUGGAGAAAGUCGAAGAUGAUAGCGGAGAUUCAACAAAUUCGAAGAAGAAUAAGAAAAAAAAAUUGGGGCCAUUAUUCGAUCCCAAAGCACAUUAUUCUUGGAAAUUAUGUAGUACAAGAAGCAAGCAUAACUACAUUCCUUGUAUUGACAUUGAAAGUAGCAGUGGAAAACUGCAGAGCUAUAGGCAUCAUGAGAGAAGCUGCCCCAAAACAUCUGUUUUGUGUCUUGUCCCCCUUCCCCUUGACGGUUAUGGGACUCCAGUAAAAUGGCCUGAGAGUAAAGUAAAGGUACGCAACCUCAGAUUCUGAUUGGCGGAAAUUGUUUUGAGUUCUCUAUUCUUCUGACUUGUAGUAAAACUGGCAGAUAUUGUACAAGAAUGUAGCACAUCCAAAACUGUCUGCAUUUGUCAAGUCACAGAAUUGGGUAGUUGAAGCUGGAGAAUAUCUGGCUUUCCCGCAGAAUCAGUCAGCACUGAAGGGUGGAAUUCAACAUUAUUUGGAAUCCAUUGAAGAGGUGAGUUUUUGGGCUUGGCUGUUACAACUGCUGGUAUGUUUACGGUUUUCAGAAAGGUCUAUUGAUUUCUAAUGCAUCAGCGGUUUUUGCCCAAGUCUUGAAACAAGCUAUUAAACUGGCCUUCUCAUGCUGAGGGAAACUCUUCUUAUUCUUAUAUGAAUAUGUCAUACAGCUACAUAUCUGAUGAUCAAUCUGAGAUGAUUGUGACAAGGGUAAAUAAUGAUUUAUUAAAAUUUAAAUGUACCAAUAAUUUUGGAAAAUGUGUUAUCCAAAUAAUAAUAUCAUUCAGCAAGUGCUCAUUCUGAAUUGUGUUUGGUGUACAUGUCUUCUUGUGUUGUGUGUCAUUUUGCAAUACCUAAGUCUUUAACAUAGUACCGAGUACAUUUUGAAAGCCAAGAUUCCAACUCAAUUGUUAUGCAACAUCUUUUUAGUAUGCUAUGUUAGUUUUCAUCACCUCUAAUUAAGUACUUUCUUUUAGCACAACAUUAACUAAGUGCUUGAUAUGAAAUUGAAUUUGGCGGGACUGUGUAGAUGGUGCCAGACAUUGAAUGGGGAAAUAAUAUUCGUGUAGUGCUGGAUGUUGGAUGCACAGAUUCAAGCUUUGUGGCUUCUCUACUUGAGAAGAAUGUGUUGGCACUUACUCUAGGUUUGAAAGAUGACUUAGUGGACCUAGCACAGCUUGCCCUUGAGCGUGGUUUUCCAGCAGUAGUUAGCCCAUUGGCAACACGGCGUCUUCCCUUUCCUAGUGGUGUUUUUGAUGCACUUCAUUGCAGCGAAUGCAGCAUAUCAUGGCAUUCUAAUGGUCUGUGUCCUCUUAUCUUUGUUCUGUUCCUAGUUUCACCUGAGUUUCAUUAGAAAUUAUAGUUGAUAUGUCAGAGGGUUUUAUUUUCAGGGGGCAGGCUUCUUCUGGAGAUGAAUAGGAUUUUGAGGCCUGGAGGAUACUUCAUCUUGUCAAGCAAACAUGACAGCAUUGAAAUUGAAGAAGGUUCUCCCUUUUGGCUUUGAGAAAAAAUUCUUUUUCUUUAAAGCAGCAGUUUGUUUCAUCAGCUAUAUUUAAGCAGCUGUUCCUCUCAAAAAUUUUUGUUCUCUUCUUCUUUAGCUGUUCUUGCUUGUGUCAUCAGAGCGUUCGGAUUGUUAUACUUUUGUCUUCUUCAUCUCCAGUUGCAAUCUGCAAAUUCUCGGAAUAGCUCAAGUAGAACCUUAAAAAUCCUCGUUCAAAAGUAUUUAUUCAACCAGUUUGUUCGGACAAUGCAUAUAGUCAUCGUUUUAUGAACACCCAACUCUGGUCUCUGUCUUAGAAUACGUAAGUAGUUCCUUUGAGUGGUGAAGUCCAUGUAAAACUCCUGAGAUUUAGUUAGAAUAUUAUGAUAUGAAGUAAAACCUUUGUACAGAAUAAUGUAUGGCUGUAAAAGGCAAAAUGGUAGACUCCUUAAGAAGUUUAGCCAGUUCCUGACUGAAUUUUGCGGAGUUUUGAAGAGGUAAAACUAGUUCCUCAGUGUGAUCCCUUGCCUUUAUGUUAUAUUCUUGCUCCAUUCAAUAACCAAAAUUGUUUUUCUUCAUGAAAUAACAUCUUAUUGAUGUCAUUUAUCCCUUUCUCUAGCCAUGUCCAAACUUACAGCCUCUAUUUGUUGGAAUAUCCUGGCUGAUAAAAGUGAUGAAGUCAGUGACAUUGAUGUUAAGAUAUAUCAAAAGCCAGAAUCAAAUGACAUCUAUGAAUUGAGAAGGAAAAAGGUUCCACCUCUAUGCAAGGAAAAUGAGAAUCCAGAUGCUGCCUGGUAAGUUGGUUUUCACUCUUUAUAGGAUCCAUAUCUCAUUUUCAAGUUCUAAGCGGGGAUGGUCUUUUGUCUUGUAAAGAACUCACUUUUCUGUGUAUCAUUUACAUCUGGCGUGUAGCACUGUCACCAUCCUUAGAUUUGGUUAUUUUUUCUUUCUUUGAGGUGUGGUUACUUGCUUCCCUCAUGUUAUCAGGUUGCCAGAAGAUGCAAAGACGGUAAUGCUGGUGAAACACAUGCACUCUUCAGCAUAACAGCCUCUCUAUGUUUUGAUGUCCCUGUCACUUUUCUUUUUAUUCUUAUGUUGCAAGUAGUUGAAACAAGAAUUGUGAAGGAACCUUAUUAUAUGGUUUUAAAUUUUUGUAUAUUAGUCACUGCCGUAAAGAUCAUUUGGAGCUUUCACUUGAAUGAUACAGAGCAUGCACUAUUGUGCACUAAAUCUGAAGUAUACUUCAACAGCCUGUCCAAAAUGGACGUGUUAUUUAUCUUGGUCAUCUGAAGACAUAACUAGCCAGUUUGGAUCGUACAUCUUGGUUUUGAUAAACAACAAGAUUAAGCACGAUAUUCUACCUCACUUGUCGGUCACAUGGAUAAUAGUAGUCUCUAAAAGAUCUUGUGAGAAUCUGGACAACUGCACAUUUUGCUAACUUAUUUAUAAUUUUUUCCACAUUUUUGUGUACUAGGUAUGCUUCAAUAAAGAAUUGCUUGCACUCCAUUCCAUCUUCCAUAGAAGAACGUGGGACCGAGUGGCCAGAGGGUUGGCCAAAGAGGCUUGAAACAUUUCCGGACUGGAUAAACAAUCGAGAGAAAUUGAUUGCUGAAAGUGAGCACUGGAAAGCAAUUGUAAACAACUCCUAUCUAACCGGAAUGGGCAUCGACUGGUCCAGCAUCCGGAAUGUAAUGGACAUGAAAGCCAUAAAUGGAGGGUAUGCCAUCAGAUUGCCCAGAUAAGAUUUCCUUUUCUUGAAAUAUGUUUUUCUUGGAAUCUUGAGGUGAAGAGGAAGGGGCCAGAGUUCCAAAUAGCAAAAUCUAUUCCAUAACUGUUUUUGUAUCUCUAUGUUCAUCAUCAACUUUAAAAUGGUGGUUAAAACCAAGAACCAGAAGAGGUGCAGGACUCUGAUUUCAAUUCAUGUUUACAGGUUUGCAGCUGCUCUUUCACAACAGAAGGUGUGGGUGAUGAAUGUAGUCCCUGUACAUGCACCUGACACAGUUCCCAUAAUCUAUGAGCGUGGCCUUAUCGGCAUAUAUCAUGACUGGUGCGAGUCUUUUGGAAGCUAUCCAAGAUCAUAUGAUCUCCUGCAUGCUGAUCAUCUCUUCUCAAGACUUAAAAACAGGUAGAAGGAAUUUUUCUCCAGUCAUUAUGUUCUCAUUGGCUAUUGCUUUUAUGUUGCAGACAAGUCAUUGAUUGCUGAUCUUACAAGGUAAAGAUUUUUUUGGGUUUUUUUUUUGUUGCCUUUCUCACUCAUUUAUCUGGAACAUAAGAUGAAAUUGUUAUGUAGAAGCACAGAUGUUUAAAAGCUCAACUCGCUUGCACUGCUUGUACGCGUGAGGAGGAAGAAAAAACUUACAAGAAUAAUUGGAUAAAAAACUUCCAAGAAUGCUUUAAUGGAAAUUCUAAGAUUUUCUUUCUAGAUUCUCUUAACCGUUGUUAUUUUUUGGAACAUUUACUUCUUGAUGGAUGUGUGCGUUAUUCCAAGAUAAUGUUCAUUGCAGGUGUAAGCAUCCUGUAGUAAUUGUUGUUGAGAUGGACCGCAUACUACGGCCUGGUGGUUGGGCGAUCAUACGCGAUAAGGUAGAAAUUCUUGAUCCACUUGAGGGAAUAUUGAGGAGCUUGCACUGGGAGAUUCGUUUGACAUUUGGCAAGGAUAGGGAGGGUAUUCUAUGUGCACAGAAGACCGGGUGGCGACCAUGAAGGUAUUAUUGGUUGUAUUGACUAUAUUGUCAGUUUUGGACUGCUAUCCUCCCCCUCCAAGCUUGGUAGCUGAGAAUUGCUUGAUGAAGACUGGUAUGAAAAGAAAGGCUGUUAUCUCAGCGAAUUCUGUUGAAGAUGUACAUACCUUGUCUUUUCAUCAUCCAGCUGCAAACAGAAUCAAUGUUCACUUUCAUCCACCCACCCCAAACCCGCCUAUAGGGACGGGGUGUAAAAAUAUUGUGCAAAGGAUACUUUCAAUAGAAUGUUUUCUGGUUGUGGUGUUGAUUUCUAUUGGGGUACAGUGUUGUGACAUCUAAUGAAAAAGAAAGAUGGUUUGUACACAGUCUACAUUCAGCAUGCGGGGCUGUAUUCAUGAGAUGUUUUGACUCGACUCUGUUCAUUGAGAUGUACUGCAACAAUACACAUCAGUUUAUAUGAAAAAUUCUUUUCACGUUUCAAAUUCGUGUACUUUGUGCCUUCUCUAAACUUUGUGUUCAGUUAAAUGCAAUCUAUGCUGCAAAACUACGUGUUGUAUAAUAAUUAGGCCUAAGAGUUUGAGAAUGUUGAUAUUGUAUAAUGACUACUCGUUUGGAUCGCUAUUUUUUAAAGUUAUUAUAUAAUAAUAAUUUGACGUAUAUGAAUUAAAAAAAAUAAUUAAAAAAUAUGUUCAUGAAAUAAGUAAAAAUAUUUUAGUAGAAAACUGCAAUGCAAACACCUAUGCUAUUCUUUUUUUAUUAUGUAAGUAAUUUAAGUGCAAUAAAAGUUCAAAAUUCCACACUUCUUGCAACUUUGCGACAUUAACAAAAGUGUCAUUAAAUUACUCCAAAAAAAUCUGCUCUCUUAAGCAACAAAAUUGUUUUCUGCCCAAAAAAAAAAAAAGAAUUGAUAAUAGUAACUGAUAAACAAAAAUAACCGUAUAGCAUUUUUUUUUCCGGCCUUAUUGGAGUCUUAUAAUUACAUUUUGUAACUGCAAUCAUCAGAAACAGAGCAAUCAGUCAGAAAUAUGACAGACCACCCUGCUGUUUUUUGUAUUCCCUAAAACCCCUGAAUUUAAUUCCAAACAUGUUCCCAUCUCUCUCCCCUACGCGUCUCACCCUCCUCACUCUCCUCUCCGCCACCACCCUCUUCCUUUUCUACAAAUCCCACCGCCGCCUUCUCCACCGUCUCAAAACCUUCAAAACCCUAAACCCUGAUACCAGAGGCAAAAUCUUUUUCAUUUCUCAAACAUCCACAUCCAAAGGUCUAGCUCAACGCCUCCACAACCUACUGACCCUCAAUAACCUCCCAUUUGACCUUAUAGACCCCAAAGAUUACGAGCCGGAAGACCUAUGUAGAGAAACCCUCGUUUUAGUAAUCGCUUCGACGUGGGAAAAUGGGGAGCCCCCGCAAAAUGGGGCCUUUCUGGUUAAUUGGGUGAAUGAAAGUGCGGAGGAUUUCCGGGUCGGCGCUGCUUUGCUGGUUAAGUGUAAAUUUGCGGUUUUUGGGGUUGGGAGUAGGGCUUAUGGGGAGACGUUCAAUGCUGUGGGGAAAGGCUUGUCGGGGAACUUGAGGAAACUAGGGGCGAAGGAGUUGUUGGAGAUUUGUGAAGGUGAUGUGGACGGCGGGGAUUUGGAUAAGGUGUUUGAUGGGUGGAGUAAGAAAGUCGUUGAGGCGUUAAAGGAUAAUUGGAAGGAAAAUGGUGUGUAUUUUGGGAAUUUGAAUGGCGUUGAUGGUGAGGCGAGUGAUGAAGAGGAGUAUGAUGAUGAGGAUGAUGAGGAAGGAGAGAAUGAUGGGGAGUCGGAGCUUGUUGAUCUUGAGGAUAUUGCCGGUAAAGGACCUUCAAGAAGGAAGGAGAUGGUGGAGGCUAAAGCUAAUGGAGAAUUGAAUGGUGUGACUGGCAAGAAAGCAAUGGUGACUCCUGUGAUCAGGGCAAAUUUGGAGAAGCAGGUAGUUCGAUGAAGUGUCUGUUUUUCAGAUAUUAAAGAAUCUAGGAUGCAUGAUUGAUAUUUAAAAAAAAAAAAUUUUGCACCUUUGGAGUUUAAUGUAUGUUUUUUGAAAUAAUGAGACUUAAAUCGUGUGUUCAUCAUGGCUUGCCUUCAGACUGGGUAUAAGUUAUUUGAAGUACCAAAAGCUGCUUCUAAUGUUUGUCUGAUGGUAAACUAUAGAAUACAUCCGUUGACUAUAAUUUAGUUAAAUUUUUGUAUCUUCGUCAUUGUCCUUCAACCUCAUAUUUGAAGAUGUGUAUUUUUAGUCUUAUUAUGCUCUAGUAGUACAUUAUUAAUAUCCUCUAUGUUGGUAACUUUUGUUCUGCAAAUCCUUUUCCUAUGAUUUUUAUUUCAAUAUCUGUUGGAUUUCACAGUUUCUUCUGCUUUUGUGUGAAUUUUGAGACUUUACAUGGGGGAUGAUUUCAGCUUGUUUGAUUUAUUAUGCAUGCGGAAUCACUUUGUUUUUGUUGGGUUUCUUAGUUUGCUAACAUGUUACAUUAUGGUGAAAGGCCAAUUAUGUACCUGCAUAUCUUGUAUCUAAUUUUGUUUUCUGUAGAUCUGUAUGUAAAGUCCUCCAUCGCUUUUGAACUCACAGCUAUGUUAUGGCUAUUGCAGGGGUAUAAAGUUAUCGGGUCCCACAGUGGAGUCAAGCUUUGUAGAUGGACCAAGUCUCAACUAAGAGGCCGUGGAGGCUGCUACAAGCACUCAUUUUAUGGGAUUGAGAGUCACAGGUUUACUUUAUCAACUCUUGACACUUAUUGUACUAUUGUUCGUUUGAGAGUUGCAAUUAGACUACAUAGAUAUGUCUCCUCUGGCUUGAGCACUGAUUUACCUUAUAUCAUGUGGAUGUCAUUACUGUAUCCAAGUAAAAGCUUUCAGAUCCUCAUGUGUGAGAUGGUCUCAAGCAUUUCCACAGCCUUAAAAAUUUUCUUAAAAGGCAUUCCAAACUACAAACUUUCUCAACUAAAUAGAGCCUAAAGUAAACCCCAGUCAACAUGAUUGUAAAUCUUUUGUUGAAUUGUUGUGUAAAAUUUUUAACAUGAUUAGCCUAUAGGUUAUCUGUUCUUAGAGAAGGUAGUUGUUGUACUUAAAACUGUUCUAAGAGCGCUUUAGCGGUUAAGAGCUGCAGAUGCUUUCCUGAUAAGCUGUGCAGGUUUUUGUUGGUGCAUGACUUUGUGGAUGUUUCUCUGUUUCGUAGAGAUUAAUUUAUAUCCUUUUUCAAAUCUUUAGAUGCAUGGAGGCUACUCCGAGUUUAGCAUGCGCAAAUAAGUGUGUUUUCUGUUGGAGGCAUCACACAAAUCCUGUUGGGAAGAGUUGGCAGUGGAAGAUGGAUGAUCCUUUAGAGAUUGUGAAUACAGCUAUUGAGUUGCAUACCAAAAUGAUAAGGCAAAUGAAAGGAGUUCCAGGCAAGUAUUAAGGUUGCAUCAACCUUUUUUUCCCAUAUGGAGUAUCAUUGUAGCUCUCGUUCGUGUAAGAGAAUUAGAACAUUCAAUUAAAUGCAUGGUAUAAUGGCAUAAAGGUGAGAGAGCUUUUAGUUAAAGCACUUCACUAUCUAGGCUUUUUCCUCUUUAGUCCAUGUUUAACCGCUCAAACUGAUGAAAAGUUGUUACCCUAGUGUAAAGUUUUGUCCUGAAAACUGGAUGAUGUGUGGGUACUGUUAGCGUUGUUCUUAAGAGGCAUAUAUACCUGCAGGUGUUAAGGAGGGGCGCCUGUCAGAGGGUCUUGCCCCUAGGCACUGUGCCUUGUCUCUUGUUGGUGAGCCCAUCAUGUAUCCUGAGAUCAAUACAUUGGUAGAUGAGUUGCAUCGAAGACGGAUUUCUACUUUUUUAGUGACAAAUGCACAGUUUCCAGAAAAGAUCAAGUUGCUGAAGCCUGUUACACAGGUUUGCUUGUUUUGUUUCCGUCUUCAGUUCUGUUUAAAUAUCUAACUGAGUUUUGGUGCUAAUUGUCACUGAUUUCUUUCAAUUGAUUAUGCAGUUAUACGUUAGUGUAGAUGCUGCAACAAAGGACAGCUUGAAAGCUAUUGAUCGGCCGUUGUUUGGAGAUUUUUGGGAGCGAUUUGUUGUGAGAAUCUUCCUGAUAUUGAAAUCUAUAAUUUGUUUCAUCUUAAGCUUUCUUCAUUUUGAUAUCAAAAUCUAUCAUUUAUUUCAUUUUAGGCUUUCUUCUUUAUGAUAUGGAAACCUAUUAUUUAUCCAUUUUAGGCUUUCUUCUUUUCUGAACCAUUUGGAUGAAUGCUAGAUGGCUUAAAAAACAAAAAAAGAGAAUGGGAUUCCCUCAAUUCUAGCACCAGUUGGAUUGCGUGAUUAUCAUCAUAGAACCUUCCAAGUGUUCAAACUUGUCUUUGAUUGUCAAUAGGGAGAAAUUAGGAAAGAUGUGCUUUUACAAGGAGCUUCUACUUGUUUUAGUUUAGCUUUGGGAUGCCUGGCUGCGUCAAUGUAACUCUGCCCUAUCUGUUUUUGCCUUAAUCAGGAGUCCCUGAAAGCUUUAAAAGACAAACAACAGCGGACGGUUUAUCGCUUGACUUUAGUCAAAGGUUGGAAUACAGAGGAUGUAGAUGCGUAUUCUAGCCUCUUUGGCACUGGGAAUCCCGAUUUCAUUGAAAUAAAAGGAGUUACUUAUUGUGGAUCGUGAGUUCCGAACCUAGCAUUCUCUCCUCUGCCUCUGCACCUCCCCACCAAAAAAAGAAAAAGAAAACCUUCCCCAAAUGGCCUUUUGUUCUAUUUUGACAGUGAUAUUGGAAGUGAAGUACUGAACAGUUUUAUAACAGGUCUGCUACGUCGAAGUUGACAAUGGAGAAUGUGCCUUGGCAUUAUGAUGUAAAGGAGUUUUCUGAGGCAUUAUGUCGGAGAAGCAACGGAGAGUAUGAGGUUGCUUGUGAGCAUGUACAUUCGUGUUGCGUUCUUUUGGCUAAAGUGGAGAAAUUUAAGGUGGAUGGCCAGUGGUACACAUGGAUAGAUUAUGAAAAAUUCCACGACCUGGUAUGCAACUUUUCCCAGUGAAGUAAAUUUACGUUGUAGCAUGCAUACAUAUUUAAUGUCUAUCUCAUUCUCUGAAAAUUCAGGUGGCUUCCGGAAAAUCAUUCACUAGCAAAGAUUACAUGGCGCCAACACCAAGUUGGGCCGUCUAUGGAGCAGAGGAAGGUGGUUUUGAUCCAGAGCAAACUCGUUACAAAAAAGAGCGGCAUCACAAAAACAGUCGCUGAGCGGGUGUGGAACUAUUUUUGGUUACUGAAACAGGUCGGUCAGGUUGGAGUUUCGCCUUUUGAGAGAAAGUUGAAUGGGUAGAGCAGCCUGCAGUUUUGUUUGCAGAAUCAGGUUUUACUGUACACUUAGAAAGUUAAUUCUGUAGAAUAGUCACGAAAUGCAACAAACACAACUACAACAAACAGAUGUACUACUGUAUCUUACCAUCAAAGUAUUCCUUUAUUAUGCAAAUGGUUGGUGGUAGUGCUUAUUUAUGAACCGCGUUGACUUGCUAAUGAUCUUUGUCCUCUCUCUGUUACUUAUUUUCUUGGCAUGUGCAGACCACUGCGACGUUUUGUUUGUUAGAUUGUCUGUGUCCCCUUCCCGUUGCUUCUCCUCCUGUACCAUAAUUGGCCUUUCCCCUCCUUUUCUUUUCAAGUCUCAACUCGCUCAAACACGACAAGAACCUCCCAAAGUCUUAUCAAUUCCCCAAAAUAUAGUUCCCCUAGGGUUGGCUGGUGCUGGGGGAAGCCUUUUCAGGUCCUGGCGGUCGCGAUUUGACUCCUGUUAAUGUCUUGUGUCUUCUGGGGGUGGGGGCACAAGCACAAUGGGAUUAGUCGAGUUCGGAAUAUUCCUUCGUUGAAUCUCGGAUAGCCACUGUGUCCGGAAAAAAAAAAAAAAAACGACUACCCCCUUUUCUACAUACGCGAGUUUCUACGUUGCAGUUGAACAGAGUCCAUUAAUAUAUUUGGGGCCAUGGUGAAGCUUUGUGGGGAUGAAAUAGUGUGUACCAUUGGUUCCAUAUACUUCAAUUUGUAAAGAGCGAAACCACGGAGCAUCACGAUUCUUCAAGACGAGGACUCGAGGGUGAAGGCAAAUUGAUCACUACAGCAUCAUCCUCUGGGGCCAGAGAAAUCUUGAGCUUGGAUUUGAUUUGAGAGAAAAAGGGGUAUCGUUGACAGUCGGCAAAGUGCUACCUAUGGCAACGGAAUACGGCGCACCAUGACGCUGCCUUCUACUUGCUCGCCGUUUUAACCAUUAUUUGCCUAGUCUUCCAUGGAAAAUACUCGAUUGCUUUUGAUAAUAAUUGUCCAAUCACUUAUCAGUUGCGUUUCCAGCCUCAUUUCUUCUCUUGCUUUUCUGUCACAGAUUUUGUUCCCAAUCAACGUCCAAUGGCCCUACCCCAGGAGAAAGUUCACUUGGAUGACUUAUGUGCUCCAUUUAUCCUCUUCUUCUCUAAUUUUUUUUUUUUUUUUUUGAAGGGGGGAGGGGGGUGUUGGUGGGGAGUUGUUUUCCGGGUUCCUGGAAUACGCGAAUUUAAUAAGAUGGGCUAGCUCUAAUUUCAAAAUUUUGAGUACAAUAACGAAAAAAACGUAGUCAAGAAAGAAUGGAAACAGAAUUUUCAGAUGAGACGAGGAGGACUACUACUACUACUAAUGCUGGAGGUGGAAAAGUUUGACUAUCCCAGAGAUCUAAAGCAAAACUGUGAUUAACUCUAAAAAAGAAUUUGAUGGCAUGCGUGAUGGCUCCGAAUCUUUGCUUGCAAAUGAUAACCAAAAGACCAUUUCCCGUUCUUUCUUUUUCACUCGAGACUAGAAAACAAGAACAACGCAAUGGAAAUUUGCACUAACAUGCAAAUUUGUCCGAGUUGGCACGACUAAUGCAGCCAACGCAGUACAGUUUGGCAAAUACAUAUGAAAACAAGCCCAUGACAUUUAUUUAACUAGCAUCAGUGGACAGCAAAUAAAAUACUACAAAACUUCCAAAAAAAACACACACACUGGUAGAUGCCAAGUAUGAACCACUGAGCUUAGUUCAAUGGCCACCACUAUAGCGUUAAGGCUUGAUGAAAUGAGAGGUCACGAUUCAGAUCUUGCCUCCCACCAUUUGUCACUAAAUGUGAUAGGCCAUCUCAAGUAGCUACCGGAUCGUGAGGCCGAUAGGUGGUUCAGUCCCCUCCGAUUUCUUUUCGAACCUUUUCAGGUUUUCCCCUUCCCCAUAGUAUAGAAUAAAUAUAGGUCCAUCGUUUCUAGAGAAAAAAAAGGUAGAUGCCAAGCAUGAGGUAGUUAAUUUGAACAGCACCACCAGCACUAGCUGAAUUUCGUUCCAACCAAGGAUUUAGUAAUUAAAUCAAUACUGCAUGGUAUAAAAGAUGCUUCAGAGUGUAACCACACACACAAAAGCUAUACGAGAUGUUUUCAUUUCUGACCAUAUAAUCUAUCCUAUCAUUUAUAACGUACGUACCUGCUAUUUCAGCAAAGUAUACAUGUCAGCUAAAAAAAGAGUGUGUAUUCACCAUCGUUCCUGACCUACUAUUUAAUGGUGCAAGUACGGUAAAGUGUAGAGAACGAUCAACACAAAAUUUGUACGGCCUUGAUUGGAUUACAAGCUUUUCUCUGUUUAAUGUUGGCCAAGUUUAAUGAGAACGCUGCAAAUUUUCUUACCUCACAGGAUUUCAGCAGACUUCAGCACAAGGCAAUGAAAAACCAGAACCUAGUGUAAAGGUGGAAGACAACCGCUGAAUUAAUUAUUAAUAUCGAACGAAAAAAAUGAAAAACAGAACGAAAAGAAACAAAAUACUAAACCAUUAGCACGAUUCCCCAAACCAAACCCCACCUUUGGUGGGUGUUUUAGUUUAGCAAACAUAAACCACACAAGGCAAAAAAAAAAAAAGGGCAAAUUAAUUCAUUAAUGAUCUUUCCUCCAAUCUUCUUUCUUGAAUUCCAUUCAACCAAAAAAUCUUGAAAGAAAGAAUUAAUGGAACCAAGAACUACGAGAUUUAGCUGCUCUUCCUUGGCUUACUUUUGCGCCUGGCUCUGCUCCUUGGAGCCGAAAGCUGCUUUUUUGAAGAGGAUGAUGCUGCUGCUGCUGCUGUUGUCAUCGUCGUCGUUGUGGCGUCUUCUUUCAUCUUUGAUGGCUGCCCUUUUUCUUUUUCAUCGCUUGUUUUCACUUUCUUUGAAUCACCUCCUUCAACAUCAUGGGCCUCCUCCUCUUGUGCUGUUUUCUCUUCCUCCUUCACUUCUUCCACCUCAGUUUUCUCAGCAAUAAUUUUCCGGGGUCUUCCUCUUUUCCUAGGAGUCAGAGGCUGCUGCUGUCCUUCUGCAUCAAGGGAUGAUGAUUCUGCUAUUGCGACUGAUAACUCCUUUGUCUUUUUCACCGCUUUCUUUUUACCCAUAAAUAUGUUUUUCAAUCAAUUCCCAAACAAACUCUUGAGCACCAAAACAAGAUAUACUAGCUCCCCACCUGACUACCGAAAUUCUAACAUGGCCAAUACAUAUUGCUCCACUUCCAUAUAUGCAACUAUAUGUAUUGGAUUAAUAUUCUCAAAUUCACAAAAAAAAAAAAGGAAUUACAAACUUAAUACUAGUAGUAUUUCAAUAACAAAUAUUUGUCUCUUCCUAGAUCCUAGAGCCACUUAAAAAAAAAGUAGUAAAACACCGCAAUCCAUCUUGAAUACUCCUACCAUGUAUCUUCCACUCAUAGCAUAGCAAUAUACAUAUGGGAAACACCGAACUUUAGCUCUCACUUUGAUGCAAGCAAGCUUAAUAAAAUGGAUAAGCCGCCUCUUUAGCAGAAUCAGAUGGUAUUAUAUAUAACCAGAAAUGAAACAAAAUCCACUAAGCUAAAACACACCUUUCUAGGACCAUGUGCACAAAAAAUUACCUCCUUUUUCCUCUAGCUAUGUGUCUUUCUUCAAUCUUUCUACCCGGGAGAAGAUGUCUCAUGCAGAAAAUAUCUGAAUAUGAGUACACUACAAUUAAUAUGCAUAAGUUUACCUUAUCCUUGUAUGAAGCUAGCUUUAGUCGUUUUAGCUGAAGAAGAAAAGACGGGCAGUGACGAAAGAAAAGAAAUGAGGUCGAAAGAUGGAGAAAGAGAGUAGGGGUUGGCUAUUGGCUAAGGCUAUGGCUAUCUGUCAAUUCUACGCCUAGCCUAACCACGGUUAAGUUGAGAAAAGGAUCAAGUCUGGUCAACAACUAAUUUGAAAAAAAAAAAACUAUCCUGCUUUGGCCAACCGGGGGGUACCGGGCACAGGCACAUCAAGUGAAAAUUACACUUGAGUUUAGAGUUUAGGGGGUAUAAGCACAUCAAGUAAAAAUUACACCUAAGCUUAGUUUGGGCCAUCAAAAAAAUGCAAAUGUGACAAUCAAGUCAUAUCAAAAUGAAAUAUUAUUGUGCCACCAACAUUUAAUGUUUUUGAUUUUGUGAGUUCUUGGUUAUUCGUGUUUGAAAUUUGAUAAUUUGAACUUCUAAAAUGGUUGCAUUAUCCCUUCAAGACUGUGCAAUUAGUUGGCCAUGCAACUACGUCACGUGAUUGGCAAAAAGGGCAAGAUCAAUACUUUCUCCGUUUCAUUGAAAGUAUCAUACUUUUUAUUUUGGAAUGUCUUAAAAUAUUUGUCAUAUUGAAAAAGUCAAAUCAUAUUUUAGUUUCUCUUUCCAAUAUAACCCUUCUUAUUAAUCAUAUGCAUGUUACUAUUCUAACUUAAAUUUUAAAUUUGUGAGGGUAAAAUUGGAAAGAGAAAUACAAACAUUACAAUCAAGCCACUAUUUUUAAAAAGUUGGAUUCUCGAAACAUGACUAAAUAAUUGGGAUGAGUCGGAGUAUUAGGAUAAAUUCAUUCUGACAUUUGUGGAGUCGAUCGAAACAAUUAUUUUGAGAGGUUGGAUUUCUAGAAAAAAGAUUUUGAAUGGAAAGCAUAUUACGUUUAUGUCACAUAAAUACUUUUGUGCUGAUUAGAAUUAUUCAUAAUUAGCAUGUAAAUACGCCACUAUCUCCACAUAUUUUCUAGGAGCACUAAGAGCACCUUAAUCCUCAACACUAGAUUAACUCAUUGUGAUCUAAACAACUCGUUGUAAACCUCUUGUGUCGAACACGAAAAAUUAUGGGCUUUGUCUCAAAUAAUUUUGAUUUUCAAAAAGUCAAAAUUAAAUUUUAAAAAGCAAGAAGUGACUCGUAAUUUCUAAUUUUAGAGUUCUAGCUUGAGGGGGAAAAAAACCCAAAAACUAUAAGAAAAUUAGUUAAAAACAUCACAAACCAGAUUCUCUAGAAUCAAAAGCCAAAAUCGCGUCGCAAAAAUCAGUUGAAAUCAAGGCCUAUCUGGUGUUAAACUAGCAAGUACUAAAAUAGGAGUGGACAGUGGUGGGGUAAAAUAAAGGAGAGGCUGCCGGGGUUGUGACUCGGUGAGCUAUGACCGGAACCAGGGUGGAGGGUUGGGGGACUCUUUCCUCUUUACCCUUUACCAUUUCGAGUUCUGACUUCUAACAAUUGAGUGGGGUUAAAGGAAAGAGGUGGGGUACGGUCUAUGACACACUUCAGUGUCUCAGUCUGACCACUGGUGUCUUCUUCUUUGCGGGUUUCUCGUAUAUCUUCUGGUUCCUGUGGACAAAUUGAGUAAGUGGUCCGUGAAUAUUGGCCCUUGGAUUCGAUUCAGCUACGUCUGAUGAUCCAUUAUCCGAUGAGGAUCUACGGCCAGAUGGACCACAGGUGUAUAUGAUACUUGACCCACGGAUGCAGGUGAACCCAAGUGGGCCUCAUUGAUAUAUAUAUAUAUAUAUAUAUAUUAACUCGGGUUGGCAACACCCUCAUUGACUCUUUUGACCAGCUACAUUGGCCAAAUUGUACAGUAGCUUUGCCUACGCAACGUUGCCAAAUUGUACCUUUUUUUUUAUUAUUAGUGCCUACUAAAACCCAGUGAAAGUAGAAGACUCCUGGUCCUAGUAAAAACAAUCAAAAAGAAGGGAAAUCGUGUUGUCUUGUUUCCAUUUCAAUGGGAUGCAAGAAACGUUACUACACUACUGUUUCUUUAUUGAAUCACACGCGUUCACAAGAAUCUGCUCUUUUGACCAACCAAAGAACUCAACUUGCCUUGUCUCUAUAAUGUGCUUUUUCCAUUUUGCAGAUGUGAAUAGGAGUAUAUUUUGCUUUGAAAUUUAUUGAUUUUAUGAGUUUUUAAUGUUUAUGUUAUCUCGAAUGGUUGAAUCCUGUAAAUUGGUUAUAAUGACCUUCUUCGAAGUUAAAAGAGAUAUCAACAGAGAGUGCCCCACAAUUUUGUUACAUCACAUUCAUCUCUCCUUGAGCUCUUCUGUUUCUUCUUUCCUGUAGCGUUGUUGACUUCCAAGCUUUUUUUUUUUUUUUUUGAAACGAUAGGAAUAUAUUGAUCAAAACAUAACUUUACACUUGUAGAGCAACGGCUCCAAGAGACUUUACAAAGGUGUUAGACACCUUGAGGAUUGUUCCAUUCCUCAUCAAUACAAACUUCUCUGUAAACUCAUAAGUUAGUGCAGCCAAGUGAAGUCAUUGUAAAUGGGUAUGAGUAUACCAUUAUAUUCAAUUACCUAUUUAUGAGUUAUUUAAAAUUUACUUUUUUUUUUUUUGCAUGUUAUCUGACAAGAAAUAACGAUAUUUUAUUAUUAUUAAAUUGAUAAGAAAUUCAAAUUUAUUUGCACAACCCUCACUAAAAAAUUGAGUUUAAAUGUAUAAUUAUUUUAAAAUGGUUAUAAAUGAGUGAGUCGGAUCAACCCACUGUCCAUCAAUUAAAUGGUUUUAAUUGAAUACCCAUUUAGAUCCAUUUGAAAUUAACGGACGGAUUUAAGCGGAGUAUUGAUGGACAGAUUUGAAUGAAUCAACAUAAUUAGGUUAUUAUUAACACCUCUAACUUGCAGUAAUCUUCUUAAUUAAUAGUACUUUAAUGACAUCAGGCUCUUUAGUAUACAUUUUGAACGUGCAAUUUUUCUUUUUAUUAGAAGAGAGUGCAAUCUGUGUAGUCAUAGGUUGGCAAAAUUUGUUGUUAACGAAAUUACGCUGAAGAAGCUUCCCUACGUGGUUUAGAAAUGCCGCGCAUGAAGACUCUUUGGCAGUAGCUAGUUUUUUGUAGUACAUUUGUAUGUAGCCAUAUUAUUGUUUACAUAUAAAAGUUGACAUUUGACCAAAAAAAAAAAAUAUAUUGAUCAUGAGAAAGUUAGGAUUUGUUAUUGCUGGAGUUUUUAUAAAGAGACGUACUAAGGUGAUGUAUGUAAUGUAUAUAAGAUAAAAAUAUGAUUCGAAAAUGUAUUCAAAGAGAACUGAAAAAAAAAAAAGAAAAUAUUAGUAAUUAGCGGCAUCCAAUGCACGGACAAACUGACAAUGGGCUGAGAGUCUACCUGAAUGGGCUAAAGCAGCUUCCAUUAUGGGCUAAAACAUGUCGAAAUCAACUAAACCCAAUUCAUUCGUGUGUAGACUGAAGCCCAUUGAUCCACUGACUCCUCGUCCUUUGCUUAACUAGCAAUUAAGAAACAUUGGAUGAGAGCUAUGCGUUAUUUGUAGGGGUGUGCAUCGAAUUCGAAUUCGGUAAUUCGGAAGUUUGAAUUCGGAAUUUUUCGAAAUUUUGGUACCUGGUAAUUCGACCGAAUUCGAUUUCGAAUUCACCAAUUCCGAAUUCGAAUUCGUACCGAAUUCCGAUUGAAUUCGGUACGAAUUCGAAUUCGGAAUUGGUGAAUUCGAAAUCGAAUUCGGUCGAAUUACCAGGUACCAAAAUUUCGAAAAAUUCCGAAUUCAAAAUUGAAUUCGGUAAAUUCCGAUUUCACCGAUUUCACCGAAUUCGGAAAAAUUUAUAUAUUAUUAUAUAAUAUAAAAUUUAUAAUAUUAUAUAAUAUUUUAUAAAUUUUAUAAAAUUUAUAUAAUAUUAUAUAGUAUAAAUUUUAUAUUACAUGUAUAAAAAAUAUAUUUAUAUAUUAAAAACGAAUUUGAAAUCGAAAUCGGAAUUCGAAUUCCGAUUUGAAAAACUCCAUUACCGAAUUCGAACCAAAUUCGAAAUAUAUGAAUUCGGAAAAUCCGAAUUCGAUUCCGAUUUCCGAUUUACCGAUUUCGAAAAUUCCGAAUUCAAUUCGAAUUCGAUCGGUAAAUCGGAAUUUUUCGAUUUUACACACCCCUAAUUAUUUGUCUUAAAGGCGAUAAGUCAGUCGCUCGUUUUGGAGAACAUCACUUUCAUCAAUCCAAGAAACCGACCUCGGCUGCCAAAUGUAUUGAUUUGGAUUAGGCUAUUCUAUUCAUAUGAUCCCACGCUUCCCCUGUCCCCGGUCUCCAUCAACAUUUCUUCUGCCUCCCAAAUACUCCACAUGUUAUGUUGAUCCAUACGUAUCUGUCCGUCCAUUGUUUAGCUGCACUGUACACCAUACAAUAUAGAAGAUGCAUAUAAUUAUAGAAAAGGCACAUUUUUGUGUAGAAUAUUUCGUGUUUGGAUUGCAAUUUUCUAAAGUUUUUAUAGAAAAUGUACGAUAACGAUUUGAUAUAUAUAUAAGGUAGAAAAUUAAUUACAAAAUGUGUUCACGAAAAAAGCAGAGAUUUUUUUAUGAAAAAUCUCUUUCCAAACAAGGUACCCUCUUUCAAAUAUUCAAGAUGAUGGGCUGUCCCAUUGAAAAAAAGCUGAGAUUUUACUGUUUUUUUUCAAAGGGUACUGAAGUAUACUCCUAAUUUCAAUAAUUGAUCGAAGGGAAAAAAAUUCCAAUGAUCCCAACUAUUAAUAGGAUGAAUUUUCGACCAGCCAAUUAUUAAAAUGAAUUUUUGAUCCCGAUCUAUCAAAAGCGUCAAAUGUUGAACAUUUUGUGCUAUUCACGAGGAAUUAGCAGAGGCAUUAUAGUCUGCUCAUGAGAAUUAGUAGGGGCAUUUUGGCAUUGUUAGGUACGUCCUCCAUGAUCACAUUAAACUCCAUCUUCUCCUCCUUUGUAUUUUGGCUUUCCUUCCUUUUGUAUUUGAGGGAUUAUUUGAGAGAGAAAGAGGGGUCAGCAACAGCAGCACCAGCAGAGGAAGAUGAAGUCUCUUUAUUGUUAUUGAAGAUGACGUGGCCCGCGGGAGUAAAGAAAAAGGGGUUGUAAAAUGUUCCUUUAAUUAGGUUUUUUUUUACCACUUUUUACUCGGUGAAUUAUCGUGGGUGGACGAGAAUGCCCUUGUUAAUUUCUUGUGGACCUCACGUGAUUGAAUAGAGUAUUAUUUAAAAUAUUAUUUACAAUAAUUAUUGUAAUAUUUUUUUAUAAUAUGAUGUAUGUGAAAUAAAAAAUAGUUGAGAAUGUAAAAAAGUGAAUGGAAAAAUAUGUUUAUGAUGCAAGCGAAAUAUUAUUUAGAAUAAUUAACCAUCCAAAAAUUUCUCAACUAGUGAAAUUGAAAGAAGGUCCAAAAUUUGAUACUUUUUGAUAGGUUAGAGGUCAAAAAUUUAUUUUUAAUUAUUGAAGGGUGAAAAGUUGAUCCAAUUGAUAUUUUGAGGUGCCAAUGGAACCAUUUUUUUCUUGGACUAAAUAUAGUGGUAGUAGUGCAUCUUACGGUCAGUGGCACAGACUUUGGACGGGAAGGGAGAAGUGGAUAAGUCAUCGAGUCCAAUUUGUUUAGAUUUGCUAUAAAGCCGUCUAAAGGUUUAGAUUUGUUGUCAGUGUACGAAAUUAAGGCCACAAGUAGGGUGGGCGAGAACAUCAAAAAAGCUGCUACCUUGGAGCCCUGAAAGCGAUUCCAUACGCCACAGAUAGCCGGAAUUUUGGAUACCGCAUUUUUGGAGACACGGAAAUAACGAUAUAUAUAAGAGGAAAACGGGAGGGGGUUGGAUGCACCAAUAUUUUCUUGGUAAGUUUCUCAUAUUUAUGCAUAUUGUUUCAUCUAUUCUUUCUGUGGGUUCGUUAUUCUCCUAUUAUUAUUUUCUAAUUUGGGGUGGUGAGUGUGUUGUUGGCUGGUUUUGAGAUGCUUGUAUUGUGGAAAGUUGUCAAUUGCUGGCAGAUCUGUUAGCCUUUUUGGGAUAUUGUCUUGGCCUUCUUACUCUCAUGUCUCAAUAUAUAUCCCUCGUCUAUCUGGAAAGAAAGGCCAGAGAGCUUUCGAUUUAGUUUCUGAUGGCUUUGGCCCUUAAGAAUUUGUGGAUUGAAAUCAAAGGUUUCUGCUUUAUUUGUCGUUGAAAUCACCGUGCAAGUCAUGGUGGGUUCGCGUCGCAAAGAUCAUGCACUGAUUUUUCUGUCUGUUUGAGUUCCUAAAAUGGCUCUCUCUAAAUAUUCUCUUUUUAGCUUCCACAAUUUUGAUUUUUCCCGAUUGGGUCUUGGUCUGGUCUUUGAAGUUUGAUACUUUGUUCUUUGGUUAAGCCUGAAGGGAGGUUGGUAUUUCUUGAUCGAAUACUCUUGACUGGAAAAAGAAAAAAAAAAAAAGAGGCAUUUGGUUUUUAGCACCCUGUUUUUUAGAUUGUGCAGUUACGGGUACGUCAUUUAGUUAUUAUUACGUCUUCUCUAUUCCUGAUUUCGAGGAUUCUGUUCCUAAAACCAGGUUACAAACUGCUUUGACAAUUCUUAGUUUCUUUCUUAGACGUAUAUGGAGUUUUGGUUCUCUCAUUAUUUGCUUCUAGUCACGAGAAAUAAGAAAAGAUUUUGGAUGCAGGACCUGCAGUGACUCUUAUUAUAGUAAUAGAAUUCUUUGGAAGCAAUUCGGUGAAUUACUUUUUUGAAUAGCAAAUAUUUUGUUAUUUUGGAACAGGAUGUUCCGGCCUAUGUUGUUUACAUUCGUCGGAUUGGAAUCUAUCCAUGAUUUUACGUCAGCCAGCUUUCAAAGAUUUUGGUGAGGAUUGAACACCCUCCUGGAACAAUAUGGACAGCUCUCAUGAAUCGUUGAACAAUGGUAAACCAGCCGAUCCUGCACUGCAGAUUAUACGGCAUCCUGCUUACCAAUCUCACAGCAAAUUGGUUUGGCUUGAUAUAAGAGUGUUCUAUGUCAGAAUCAGCAGUUUUAUGGUGGAUGAUUCAACCCCAGAAUGUCUGACCCUCAACCAUAUCCCUCUCAGCCCUGAUACUCUUCUUGAAGUGAAUGGUGCAAGGUGUUCUAUUUAUUCAGAAGGGUCAUCAUGCAUUCUUCGAAGGGAUAGGCUAGAUAAAAAAUCUGAAGAAGCUACAUUUGUGAGUACUGACAGUAUAAGGUUAUCAGGGAGUGUGAAAUUUGAGGUUUUCCAUAAGGAAGAUCUUGUGCUCUCUGGUGUUCUGGAGAUGUCAUGUAGUAAUGGUUUCACCUCGAAGUAUAAUGGCAAUCCUAGGAAAUGGAGCAUGAAUUGUGAAACAGUGAUGAGUGCUGGUGCAGGAUUCCUGAAGGGCAAGCAUAUAAUUAGUUCUGAGUCCUCGUCACCCACCAUUGAAGUCUAUGUUGCUGGUUGCUUCUUGGGUGCCCCAGUCAUCUUAACCAAGACUUUGCAGUUUAAUCACCGCAAGAAGCCAAACAGAAAAGUGGUGCUGGAUUCAAUUCCAGAAUAUGAUACUGCGGCAACCAACAAGGAUGAUGGAUCUAGAGCUGAUUUGCAGGUUUUAUUCUUUCCGUCUAGAUUUAUAUUAGAUAUCCAUUCUUUUUAUGUUUGUACUGUAGUUUUGGUUUAGUGCUGGACCAGAAUAUUGUGUCUGGAUGGUUCAAGAUUGUGCAACCAAAUUCUCCAGUGUGGGCACCGCCUAACUUUUAUUUCUAUGUAGGUUUUGGUGCUCAAUACUUAUGCAUAUUUUGUUUCUGAAUUCCUAAUUAUUCAUGUUUUUAAGAACCAUUUGCUUUGACUAGAAAGUAUCCCUGUAUCAUUUAACUCUGCAUUCGACCUCAACUUGAAAUGCAUGCUAAAGAAAUACAGGAAGUCAAAACAUGGGUCCUUAAUGAAAAGAUUAUAAAUUUAUGUUGAAUUUUCAGCAUCUUACCUGCUGUCUUCUCUCAUUCUUUUUGUUUUUCUUCUUUUAGUAUAUUAUUUCAAAUUUACCUGCUCUCUAUUUUUUUAAAAUGUCAAAAACAAAAUGAGUUAAUGUAUGUCAAAUGACUAGGAAACCUCUACUGAGUUUUGCUGUUUCAUAAAAUAUAUUCAAAUAUUCAAGAGUCAUCUGGAGCUAAUGAUGCAAUAAAAUAUAUCAUGACCAUAAGAACCUUUCAGUGGUCACCUUAUCCUUUAUUUGGAAUUUCUCUAUGCUUCCUCCUAUGAAACAUGUUUCUGUGUUUCAUUUCGCCUAUUUCUAUUAGGAAUUGGAUAUUGGAUUGUGAAACAGAAUCUUAUCCUAGACAUGUCAUGGGGGUAUGGUCGGGCACAGUUCUUAAAGUGGUGCUCAGUCUAAUUUUUAUUUUUAUUUUAUGUUAUCCAUACUCUGCAAGAGUCUGACAUGCAGGACCUCAUCCCCCAAAGGUCCCAUUAAGUAGCUAUCAAGUAGAUUGGUGAUUUCAAUUUUGGGCCCCACCACCAUUUUCUCAGUAGUUGCUGAUUGAAAAUCAACUUCUUGUUUUCCCCAUCUGUGUAUCUAAGAAAAUCAACUUUGUUGAAUAUGUCUGAACCUCAGUUGCCCCGGAUUACGGAUGGCUGGAGCUGCUUUUAAGUUCUAUAUUACAAACUUCAAUUUCUGCAACAGAGAUGAUAAAUUUGUUAAAAUGUUAUGACAUUUGUUGUGUCUAUAAAGAUUUGAAGCAUCCCGAGUGUGUCAAAUAAAACUGCACAUUUUUUCCAUGAGUAGCCCAAAAAUAAAUAAAUAAAUAAGUUCUGUCUUGACUUCUUGGCAUACUAUCACUUGUACUUUGUAAAAAAUAUGAUCAAAAUUGUUCGUAUAUAACACAAUUGUUCUCACUUGGAUAGUUAUUAUAUUUUUCAAUUGGAUCCUGUGGAUUCUCGUGUAGUAAUGUGAAGGAGCCUUCCAUGUGAUGAUGGCAUGAAAAACAUUUUGAUUACUGAAUAUGUACUCUGUGUUGAUCUAUUUUGUGAAUAUUUUCGGACUAGUUGACCUAUCAUGAAUUGGUCAAAGUAGGAACUCAUCCAAAUUCCUGGUCUGAUUAACGUCUCCAAGUACCUGAAUUUGAGUUGCUAACUGAUUUGAUGGUGAUUACAAGAGAAACUAGUAGCAUGAGGAUGUAGCUCAGAACUGAGUCAGUAACUGAUCUAUGAUUGUUGAAAGUGUUUGUUUCUUUUUCAGUUUUCCUUGUUAGAUCUUAAAAGCUUCUUGUUUGCAGUUAUGUUGAGUUAUAAACUUCCAAGUUAGAACUAUGGUUUUAAUAAACUGGUAUCAUCUGAACUGCCUUGUGCCUUUUACUUUUCAUUGUCUUGUAUUGGCCUUAAUUUAUUUUUAAAAAAAUUAUAAAUAUGUUUCCCAUCAGGUAUAUAAAAGGCCAUGACCACUUAAUCUGCAUUUUCUGUGAUCCUAAUGUCUGUCCGGGAUUGUAAUACUUGCAAUGUUAUUUGCCGCAUCUAAGUUGGAAUGGCAAGUCAGACAAACAAACUGUUUCGCAUUUGAGUUUAAACAAUGUAAUGGCAGCCUUUGCAUGCUGUAAAGACUUUCUUUUGGUGACUUUGUUGCAGGUAACGGAGGACAGAAGCUAUAAACCAGAAAGUGAGGAAGAGUUAAACAAUAUGUACUGGAGACGAAUGGAAUAUAUAGAAGGUGAAGAUGGAGAAAUAUCCUGGUUCAAUGCCGGUGUGAGGGUUGGAGUUGGCAUUGGACUCGGCAUUUGUCUUGGAGUCGGAAUAGGAGUGGGUUUGCUCGUUCGCACGUACCAAGCCACCACCGGAAGCUUCAGAAGGCGGCUUAUGUAGUUCUUUUUGCGUCGCCAUUUGUUUAAAACUAAUCCAAAGGCAAACAUACGCUUGGUAUGCGAGUCUUGACUCUUCGGUGCCUAUUCUAGCUGUGAAUUUCUCUCUUUUUGUUGAAAGGGUUGGGGUUAACAUUGUAUUUUUCCAUAUACAAACACCCUUUUCAAGUUUUUUUUUUUUUUUUGGCUUUUCAUCUUUGAACGUGUUUUUGUAUUGAUAAAGAGUGUCAAGAGAUAGCAUGCCCUGUAAGCUUUAGUACUGGCACUCCAAAGAUUGUAUUAUUUUUGUAAAUAGCUUUGCCAAAUCUUGGAUUGCAAUAAGUUGCAGGCAUUUUCUGAUGAUGGUUUCUGAGUUCUGAUAAGAGCCAAGUUGGUUACCUUUGAAGCACGUAUAGGGCUGAAAGUAGUUUUUUGUAAUUAUUCAAAAUGUACAUGCAAUUACUGGAUGAUCGACAGCAACUUACCGUGCUUUUAAUGAAAUUCACCUCCAUUGUCUAGUGUUGCUGUUUACAGGCUCGUUGCCAUUUGUCCAGUAUAAACGAAGUCAUCGAUUUCCCUAAACUACUUCAGUUAGCUAUCGUUUUUAUCCAGCAGCAGCACUUUCCGAGUAAAAUUUCCAUGGACCAUACCCCCGGAAUGGGUUUAGACUGACGGUCACAUCCAAGAAGAAUUAUCAGAGGUGAAAUGCAAGAACCUGAAGUUACUAAGAGACAAGGCACGCUUGACUUGGCCAUCUUUGCAAGUUGGAAAACGCAAUGACAGUUGUGCCCCUUCUGUUAACAUCCAAAUUCUUUAUAGUUAACAUCUCCCAUUGGGACAAUAAAUACUUCAGCAUUGGAAAGCAAUAGGUAAGUUAAUAGCCUUGAAAUUGGCUUUCUUUGUCAAGUUAAACAAUUAUUAGGUCCCAUGGUAUAGCAGCCUACCGUCAAGCAGGAGAGCCCAUUAAUCGUUAAUAUAUAUAUUAUACACCCGUUCCUAGAUUAAAGAUGGAAAUUCAGCUGGCAGGCGAAGCAAGGGUCUCCGGCUCAGGUGCAACCUCAGCUCCAGUAAAACCAUUUGGAUGUUUGUCAAAACCCCAUACUUUUGCAGCUUUGACAUCAUCCUGAGCCAUCCGCCUUGAGAACUCUUCAUGAUCAUACUGCAACGUGGCUUUCCCUCCAAACUCUGUCGGAAGAUUAUCCACAUCGAAAUAUGACCUCAUGAGCUCCACACUAUCCUUAUUUUUUGGGUACACAAAUUUCACCUUCUGAAAAGUCUUGGGAUCCAAAAAAUACUUGACAAUCUGCAAGCACAGAAGCACGUAUCAGGCAAAUAGCAAGUUGUUCAAAAGUCUUUUACCAAACAUGGUUAUAUGUUCCGAAACCCCCUAUAGGAUGUUCCACAAUAUUAGAAUCCACCACCCUACUAAGCUCCUUUAUAAAGAAGACUGUAUUAUGCCUAUUUUUCAACUUUUAUCUGAAUAGUUGUGGUACUUUAGCAUCUGAAUGUGUAAGGUUUUAGUUGCUGGCAAUAACCAGAAUAAGAAAAUUAGACAGAUUCAAUAGCUCAAGAUCCUAAAUACCCAGAGACGGAAAUAAACUACAAUUAUGAUGUACAUCUGCAAAAGAAAUUAACAGUGGUACUCAUGAUCUCCACUCAGCUCAUUACAGACCUUCCAAAAUGCUUCAAAAAUACGUGGAGGACUGUAGAGGAAUGCAACAGCUAGUCUCUCAGGGUAAUGGUUUUGCAGUACGUUUACUGUGUCUUUGGCAGAUUUGAUUGGCACAUUAUUGGUUAUAGACCAACCAGUGAAGUCUAUUAACCAAGCCAUCUGUUCUUGACCUUCAGGCAGAUUAAGGAUGGCAUUUUCGAUGAGAUACACCAGAUGUCUAAUCUGGUUGUCGAUUGAUGUUGUGUUCUGCAACAUUUAACAGCAUCCCUUGAUGAUCACAUUACGCAGAAGAAAGAAACCAAACCGAUACUCAAAAUAAAUCAUUUGAAGGAAUCUACGCUAGAAUUUGGUAGUCCAAGGACUUCACCUGCUUUCCAGGUCUCAGAAUAAGAACGGUCCUUCCAUGGCGGUCAUGAAAAUUAGCUCUAAAUACCUUUCCAGUCUCACCCUCAACAGCAACCUCAUGCUAACAAGUUUGAUGGUUAUAGAAAAGUUAGAUUAUGCACAAUUUUCAGCAUAUUGGAGAGAACGAGAGAUAUGAGAAAGCAUAGAAAUCUGGGAAACAUAUUUGAGGAAAAAAAUAAAUAUUUCAUUUCAAAAUUUUGAUAAAACAAAUUCUGUCUGAUUCUAAUAUGUAUUUCAUCAUUGAUUACUCUAAGACAUGCAUUGAGCAGGUUUGCUUAUGAAUUGUCACAACAAAAGAACUAUUAGGAAUAAAGGAUGAAAGAGAUGAACAAAAAGUUAAAUUCUUACCCAGCGAAUUUCUUCUGGCUUGUAGGUUGAUCUCCAUCUUAGUGUCUCCUCCAACAUCUUUUUUGCUUUAUCUACAUUCCAGCUUCUGGCUUCCAAGUAUCUCUUCAAGCACGCAUCACUGCAAUACUGUAAACCACGUCCCGAUAAAGGACCCAAAGCAGCCUUAAGUUCAGUAACCUGCAAGCAUACCACAAAAUUGGUAGUAUUCAUAAGAGGAAUGACCGCAGUCAUCAAUGAAACCAACAGCACUUUUUACCUCCAAACUUGGGUUCAAAGUCAAUAUUUAAAUGUCAAAUGAGAAAAGUAAGUCAAUUUAUGUAAUUGCAAGUAAAGUUACAAAUUACUUUUAUCUGACAAAAGAUUGUACUUACUGGGAGCCAGCCCAGUAAUGUAAUGAUAAAUGUCUAGGUAAUAGGUGAUAUAGCCCAUUUUGGACUAAAACUUUAGAGUCAAUAGACCAUAAAUUCCAAGCAAAAGGACUAAAACCUAUUCAGACCAGGACCAUAUCUUUGCAGACUUAAUUGAAAUGGCUACUAGAGAUGAUUCCAACUAAAAUUCUGGACAUUAGACCUACUAACAAAUAGUUUCUCAUUGGCUUAUUCACAAACUCAUGACCAGUGAAAUAACCAAAAAUCAUGUGUGCGCCAAAAAAGAUGAGAAUAGCUACAGCAAAAUAAACAUUGAAACCCACCAAUAACAGUAUUAAAAAGCAAAAAAAAAUCUUCCUACAGAUAAGCAGCCAAAUUAUGAAUUAGUUUAUUUAAGAAGUUAAAUGAAUUAUGCAUUUUACCACUUCUCAAUACCUUUUCCUGCUGCUCAUCAGAAUCCUUCUCGUGAUGUGAAUUGUUCCACCGACGAAACAUUGCUAGAGCUAGAGGAGUCAAUCCACAUUGAACAACAGCAAUUAUAUUUAGUGAAUUUAUCAUUUCAGCAAUUCAUAUUGACUUUGAAUGCUGACUGUGAAACUGAGGCAGACAGAAUUAAUACACUCAAGAAACAGCUAAUUCGCAUAUAGAAAACAGUAAAAAAAAAAUCUCAAGUCAUAGGUCAUCCUAGUGCUUAAAAAAAAUCUCAGCUAAUAUUUAGUGCAUAUAAGCUCACCUCAACACAUAGAAUGUCACUGACUUACAGUGACACUUGAAUGUCAGAGACAUACAGUGACACUUGAAAGUAACACACGAGCUCACCUCCACAUUGACUAAUAUGAAGUUUAAAGUUUUUAACAUGAUCACUUUUGGCCCAAAAUUUUAAGUUAUGCACUUCUACAAAUUGAAGUAUAUAUCAACUGUUAAAACUAGAUCUACUUAGUAUAGGAGAAAGCCCUCAGUCCGAAACAAUUCAACAAUGUUUACACCAGCCUAUUCUCCAAUGCAGAAGAUUGCAACUUUUAUUUUAGCCCUGAAAUAUUAUAUGAGUAAUUGCAAGAAAAUAAGAGUAAAAGUGAAUGGAUGGUAGCCCAGGUGAUGAACCAACAGACCACAAAUAAAUGAAUUAUUAUUGUGAUCCAAGCGUAGCUUUUAAGCUGCUAACUCUUUUUAACCUCCUCCCACCACGGAGAAUAUGAUCAUCAUACACGCACGCAUUUAACUAUAUCCUAAGCACAAAAUUUAAUAUUUCGCCUCAUCAUACACCAGAGCUAACCCAUCCCAAGGAAAUCUCAAAGAAAUGAACUGAGAAAUUCUGAUAAAAGCAGUGCCAAAGCAAUGAAUUCCUGAAUUCCGAUAAAAAUAAUGGUAUAGGAACCUAUAUUAAAAAGGCAAAUAUUUAUUUAAAAAUGUCUUAAGCUUUUGCCUUUAUAGUAUAGAUGGAACAAAAAAUCAAGGUUGAAACGUACUUUUCAGAAACAGAAUGCCCGAAAUGAAACCUUUUCCAAGACUUCUGUUCCUUCACAGUUAAUAUUCAUUUCCACCAACGAACUGGGCUUAGAAAUAGCAAACAGACUAAUAGUUCAACGUUAACAGCUCCCUCUCAAAAAGUCCCUUUCAAUUUUUUUUCUCACUUCAAACUUGUAUAUUAGAACCAACCAAACUAGCCCUUUUCAAGAAAACAUUCAACAAUCAAGAUCCAAUAACCCGCAGAUUCAACAGAUCCAUUAAUUCAAUUCUAGCCCAAAGAAAAACCCAAAAAGAAAAGAAAAAGGAAAACAAAGCUCAAGCAAGAAUAUCCCUAUACAUAAAUCCCAACUCCAACCACAGCUAUAAAAAAAAGAGAGAGAGAAAGAAAGAAAGAAAGAAAGAAAUUGAUUAAAGCAUCGGCCAGUGACCAUACCUGGUUUGCAGAAACUGGGAGGCUAGAAGUGGAGAAAUGAAGAGGUUUUUGGUGGGUUUAAAUUUCCAAAUAAAGCAGGAUCGUGCAAAUGGUUCUAGUCUUGCCUUGUAGCAGUUUGCUCACAAGAUUUUCUCCGACGCGCGCACACACACUCACCAGUAUAGUGUGUACUACGUAUACACGCGGUAGAGAGAGACAGAGAGAGAUGGGAAUGAGAUUUUUGUGGGAGAGUUAUUCUAACGAGAAUGGUACGGUAUUUCGUCCCCUGAAGAACAUUUGCUAUAAUUACAGGUUGGUUAGAUUGUUGAACAUCACAGCCCGCAAUCGAACGGUAGAGUUUAAGUCAAAUUUUGAAAGAGUAAUUUCUUGCGUUGAUCAUUCAUGGGAUGUGAGGCAAGAAUAAAGGGGGCUGUCAUGUUUGGAGAUCUCCGCCUCGAAGGCAAGGGACCUUCACAUAUUUGCCACCAGGAAUUGAGGAAGCGAGGAAAAACACUGCAACUGCCACGUUACCCUUGACUUGAAAAACCUGAGCAAAUUCCUUGGAAUAUUUGCAAAAAAAAGCUGGCGGUGUUCAUUUUUUUCUGGUGGGUUCUAUUCUAUGUUUUUCUUUUUCUUAUGUAGUGUAGCAAAUUAGCUAGGUUAAUCCUUUUGGGUGUGUUUAGGUUAGAGAUUGUUUGAAAAAAAAUUAUUUGGAAAGAUAUUUUGUGAUUUAUAUGAGAUAAAAAGAAAGUUAAAAAUAUAAAAUAUUUUGAAAUAUAUUUAUAAUACAAGUAAAAUGUUAUUUAGUUAAUAUUAUAUACGAUAUUUACACAAUUACAGUUAGAUGCAUCGUACAAAUAUAAAAUUUAGAUUUUUAAUUUAAAUUUAAAUUAAUUAUCGUGCAAUUAAUAAUAACACUACUGUUAGUAUAUAGAAAAUGAAUCCUAAUCUUAAAGAGAAAAAAUAUCUAGUCAUUUCUUCAAUUUUUUAGAAUUGUUUUAAAAUACCAAGUAAGCUGAUUUUAUUGGUAGUGUGGCUAAAAAAUGUAUUACAAUGAAGAAGACCAUCCAAAAAGCAUAUAGUCAUUUGAAACACAAUUUUUAGGUAAAUGAAUUGAAAAUGUGAUCUCUACGAUUUUUCAGGGGCUUCAGGCAAAGAUUGUCAUUCGGCAUUAUACAUAAAAAUUGACAAAUGCCAAUUGGAAAGAGGACGAAAAAAAAAAAAGAAUCGAUAAAUUCGAGAAAAUUUUUAUGGUUCAUUAUUACCCUAGAGCAAGUUCGGUCCGAAUGAGCACAAAAAUUGGGCCAAUUUUGUACCCUACUUGAAUUAGUAAAUGCUGUGCUUGGAAACGUCAAUUGGUCCACACUCAAAAAAGAAAGACGACGGCGAAAAAGCCUUAUUUUCUUGACUAAUUGGUACCCACUUUUUCUUUUCUCCGUUUUAUCAGUACAGGGUCCUUCUAGAAAGAACACACCGAAAUACUACUAAAUGCGUGGUCAAGAAACCCCAAAGACUUGCCAGAACAUAAAAAAGAUCCGCUACAAACAAGAAAGUUGCAAUGAGGGAAAUGAAUAGCAAAACUCAAUCAAUAGCAGUAAAAGAAAAACACUAGAAAACGAUUUUAAAUCAUGCUGAGCUCAUUUUCUUUUUUCAAGUAAAAUGAAAUAAGAAUGGACAGACACUUUGGAAACCAAGUGGUAGGUUAAUAUUCCAGAAGACACCAACAAAUAGGACAUGCCAUGCCACGACGAGCACAAGGAUUCAAUUAAGAUAGAAUUGAGUCCAUCCACAUUUGGUAGUUACGUAGUUUAUUGUUUGCUUUAGUAGUCGCAUUUGUGACCAAAAAAAAAUAUCGAAUUCUUUUUUAUUUGUAUUUUAGAAAAAAAAAAAAAAGGAUUAAGUUUUCUCUCUCCCUCUCUCUACUUUUAUAUUUGUUUUUAAUAUUAAUACAAUUAUUAAGAAGAAAGAGAUUAACGUUCUGAUUUUUCUCUUUAUACUAAAAAGAAAAGAGCCAUUUCAAAAUUUUUUGUUCUUUUUGUUAUACAAAAAGAAAGGUACUUUUUUUUCUAAAGUUUUUUAAACUUAUUAAGUUGGUUUAAUAGUGGGAUAAAUAGCCUAAAAAAUAAUUCUAGGGACAAAUUUAUAAUAAGGCUAUAAUAUAUGAGGUUGAAUAAUAAGAAUUUGACCAUUAGUAUUAGAGUUAAAGUGAUUAAAAAAUAAUAUUAAAAAAAUUGACAAUGUCUUUAAUUUGACCGUCAGUAUUAAAAAUAAAAUGGCUAAAAAUGAAAUUAACUUUGUUAAUAACAUUAAAAGAAAAAUUGAUAAUGAUACCAUCUAUGUUAAGGGGUAAAGUAACAAUACCCCAAAAAAAAAAUUCAUUUGUUGAAUGAUUAAAGGUUAAAACUUUUAUCUGUUGGACGGCAUAGAAAACUUAGGUUCUGUUUGGAUUGCAUUUUCCGUGAUUUUUCAUGAAAAAAUUACUGUAGCGAUUUGAUGUAUGUAAGGGAAAAAGGUAAUAGGGAAAUGUGAUCACGGAAAACGACGUAAUUUUUCGACGGAAACCGGCAAUCCAAACAAGGCCUAGUUGUCACAAGUUAUUCUAACAAAACAACAAGUUCAUUAUAAAAAGAAAACAAAAAGUUUAAUGAUCUAAUAAUUAAGGAAAUUUCAAAUAGUUCAGUUUAAAAUUUAUUUUUGCUAUGCUCUAGAAAAAAUAUCCAUCUUAAAAUUUUAUUUUGCUAUGCUCUAGAAAAAAAAAAAGUCAGGUUGGUUAUUUUUUUCUUCUGUUUAUUUUUAUUUGAGCGAGAAGACAAGAUAAUUUACCAGAAACACAUUAUUGAAAAACAUACAGUAAAAGACAAUAGUGCACGUUGAGCUACCACAACCGUUAGGCUUUUUUUUUUUUCAAAUCACCAUCAGCCAAUUUUGAAACUACACCAAGAAAUAUAUUAAUCUUAAUGCCCUCACACAUGCCUUGUCUACAACAUUCAUGCACACGGGAACAAAUAAACAAAAGAAUUGGAUCCAGGUGGACUCGAACCACCAUCCUCUCAAAUGAAUUUACACUUGAGCGCUCUACCAGGCUUUGAGCUUAUGGAUCCUUCCAGAGCAACAAGAUACAAUUAUACUACUUGGUAUAUUUCUUCGGGUAAAUUAAAUUAUAAGCUCCAUAACAUUUUCUCACAGAUUACCAAUAAUUUACUGACGGUUUUCCACUACUUGCUCUAGAUUUUUACCGAUCCACUUCCCCCGUCACAAUGAAACUCGUUUCAUAAACUUCAGUUUGACAAAACCAAAUAGUAUCAAAAUUAAUACAUUCAAUUCGAAAAAAUAGUUGAAACUCGUCCCAUCAACCAUACCGGCCUAAAGGUCCUCAAACAAAAGGGUAAACAUCAUUUUUAGGGCUUCAAUCCUCUUUGGAUUAUCUCGGCAAAAUGAUCUCCAAGUUACAAUUUUGAUGAAGCCAAUGAUUUUUUUGUCAGAAAAGGUCACUUAGGCGAACUAUAUUAUUAUUUGAUUUUUUUGUCAGAAAAGGCCACUUAGGCGAACUAUAUUAUUAUUUGAUGAUCGAUCCAAAGAGGCUUAAAAUAUCAAUUUCUCCAUAAUAUUCCACUUUUGCCCAUAAAGACGUCCACCUGACAAACUGGACAAAAUCCCAAAAAUGCCAAUUUGAAUGACAAAAUCCCGAAAACUCAAAACAAGCCACCAAAAAAAAACACACAAUUACAGCCCUUAGAACAAAUAUCCAAUUUGAAUGACAAAAAUGCAAAUUAAGGUCAAUAGAACAGCCACCCAUGACAACAUGCAAACGUAACGUUCUACAUAUGCAUCACUUAGACACAGUUUUUUUUUUAUCAGACUUAUAAAGUUAAUUAAUUAAACCUAAUCUCGAAUUUAACCCCAAAAGCCCAAAAACCAGCAACUCUUGAGGCAAACUUGAGAACUAAACUACCCAACCCCUAAACCCCUUAGAAUAUGCCUUUUCAUAUGGUUACAUAUGCCUUUUCAUAGUCACGGGGCCCUCUGAGAGAGACAACAUUCAAUUACACCUGCAAAAAACUAGGGAGCAGAAACAAAGCGUAAAUCACAACAAAUUCAGGCAUCCCCAAACAGAAAAAUCUGCCUUCUACCAGAACUCUUUAAAAACAGAUUACUGAAACAAGUAGGAGAGGAGAUUAAACAUCACCAAGAGAAUUAAAAAAAAAAUGGCACCUACUGCGAGCAUUAAACAUUCGAGAACUUGAAAAGUGCCAUCUAUACCUUGAUCGCUUGCCGUAGAUAAACAUUUGGGAAUCGUUGACUUGAUAGUGACAUCUAUACAACCUUGAUCACUCGGGAAGAUACACAAUUGAGAAACACACGGGACUUCAGCAUGACAAAAUGUGAAAAUAUGAGAUUGUCUCCAGCACAGUAACCCUACAUUAUUUUUGUAGGAAUCCUUUUCAGCUUUGAUGUAAAGUACCCAGGGGAACCUCAAUAGAAAACCAACAAUUUAGUGUAUUUGUAUCUCAGCAUGAAGCACAACAUGCAGCAGCAAGGAAGCAGAAUCAAGAUGACAGCUUCACAUAGCCUGCUUUACCAUACGAGGGGAAAGCAUGUAGCACCUGGGAAAACGCUGAAUGCCCCCAACAAAUUUAGAAGGAAUGGCCUACGAGUUGACUGCAAUCCAACCAUUAUGCAAAUUUUUCCCCGUAAGCCUUUCCCCACGGUUAUUAGGCAAUCUUCUGCAAGGCGUCCUUGAUGGUAUGGAUUGGUCUCUCGUUCAGCAGCAUCAUCCAGAAUCUAUCAACAUUGAAUUCCUCCAUCGCAACCCCUCCUUUUCUCAGUCUUCAGUCUCUGAUCAGCAACUCGAUCCUCAUAUUUUGAAACAGCACCAUUCACGCAAAAUUUAAAGCUUAUAUUCCACAAUAAGCAAGUAAACUUCCUGUAAUCCUGUGAUUUCGCACAUACAUUGGAAAACUGUGUGUCCAGCACCGGCAAUAUCACCAACCCAUUAUACAUGCUAAAUGCCCAAUUCCUACAUAAAAUUCAUCUACAAAUACAAUAUGCAACGAUGACAGUGUCAGACCAUUCAACAUGCUCACUUAACGACAACAAUGUCCCAGAGCAUGUAAAGAUCAACUGAUCUGCCCUACCGUUACAUAAAAUCUAAAGACAUUAUUGAAUUACUCCAAAGUAAGACAGCAUUAAAAGGAGAGAAAAUAAUCAUUCUCAAAGGCAAGUUAAGAAUCUGCUGAGUUAAAAAUGAGUCACAAUUACUGGCGUCAGUGAUCACUCCCUAAGCGUACAUUAAUAGCCUUGAAUUAAACUCCUUAAACGUUAAUUUGAACAUAAUUCUUCAACAUAAAAUCUACUAGUGAUCUUGGGCCUUCGUACUCCCAAGGUAAGUGCAAUUAACAAAAAUAUUCGUUUUUGGCAGAAAGCAAUCCAGUACAUAUUACAUUUAGAUUUUCAAAGUGAAAAUUACGAAAUUAUUUCAUGCAUGAAUCCUUGUUAGUCUUCGUUAGUCACGAUAACUAUGAGAGCUGAGGCGAGUUACCAUCUCUCAAGAGAGGAAUCUGUAUGGUAAACAAUGAAAAAGUGAAAGGCACUUGGACCAAUCGGUGCUCUGCCUUCUAUCUUUAACAGAAAUAGAUACCUGAAUAGUAGUUUCAAUUUUCAGUUCUUUUUAAUCUAUAGUUAGACCAAUAAUUAAAGUUCUUACAGGCAAUAUUGCAGCACGAAGCUAUUGGUAAAUUGUGCAGGAGAAAAUUUCCAUUUCCUGAUAUGAAAAUGACAGGUUAUCCGAUUCAAGACAUGUACCGCAACCAGAUUCAACCGUCAAUAGUUCAUAGCAAAAUGAAGAUUGACUGCCGAAUUCUUCGUUAUUAUAACAAAAGUAAAGAUUACAUAUUAACAGUAUAAUCUUGUGUGUAGAAAAUAACAACCAAUUUUAGUUAGAAAUUAUUGUUCACUCUUCUUCCAAAAAAAUUAUAAAGCCUUCACUGCAGAAUCCUUGUUUAAAACAUAGUAACUGCAAACUUGCAAACUAGAAAUAACAUAUUAACAAUACAAUCUUUUAUGUGGAAAAUGAAGGCAAACUUGGAUAGUUAAUAUUUAGUUUUCACUUCAUUUAACAAAAUUAAAACGGUUCUAAUCGACAUUUAACUGCUUAGUUAAAUUGCUAGAUAAGGGGAUAAAGGUAUAAGAGUAACGUAAUGCUUAGAUACCGCAUAGAUGGGAUUGCGAGGUAAAAAACGGACGGAAAACAUUAAUUGGAUUACCUUUUGGAGUGAGUGCUGUGGAUCUGGAGACAUAUCCUAGCUUGCUGAGAUGCAACCAUUUGCUCAAGGUGGUCUUGCUCCGCCUUGAAUGGGUUCGAUUAAAAGCAUCAUACCAUUCAAGGAACGAAUCAAGCCACCACUUUUGAAGGAUCGCAGGCGGGAGUUCACAAGGAAAUAAAGAAACAAAAUAUAAACAACAGGACACGCGCACACAGGAGGGAAGAGCCGGGCAAAACCCCGUGCCAUCUUCCCUCAAACACCAAAAAGUAAAUUUUUAUUAGGCAUCUUUUGACCUGCCAUGCGAGCGCACCCAACAUGGCAAAGGUCGGCAUGGACAUGAACUCGUCACAUUUUUUUCCGCUCUCUCUCUCCUGACUCUUCGAUAUAUUUCUUCACUGACUUCAAUACAUGUAGAAACACAUGCCAUCUAAUUCACCAUGCAAAUUAUCAAUAAUUAAAUUAACUAGAAUUAAACAACCGGUGGAUCAGAUAACUAAACCUCCGUUUAAUUGAUCAUAGGCUUCGUUACCCCAUGCAGAAGCUCCCUUUCCGAUCAAUCAUCUUCGUACUUCUGACUUCUCGGAUCUUAAAGGUCCGAACCGAUCUAACAGAUCUCGUAGACCUUUCGUAGCUUACCAUUCAUCACAGCCCAAUCUUCUUGACAAGCUGCACGAUAAUCACAAAAUUGAAUUAAAUUGACAAAUAUACCGGAAUCCUAAAUCAUUUGUACAAGAAAAUAAAACAUCCCCAAGUAGAACAAUUAUAAAAUAAAAUACCUCAACCAAAAUCUUAAUUGUCACGAGCCUUAGAAAAUCUUUCGAAUUUCCGUCCCAAAUACUUCGAACCCAAUUAAAAUAACGACCAGCCUCUACAUCACAAACAAUAACACAUAAUUAAUACAGAUAUAUAAGCGAGAAAACAAGAAAAUUAACCUCAUCGCAAAGGAUUCAGAACGAACCUCAAUCAAUCUCCCAAAAAUACAUCAAAUCCGAUCGGACAUCCGCCGGCUUAUAAGUCAAAUAGAAAAUUCGACAUAAGCCGGACCAAUCCUCAAAACUGCUCGAUGCCAUAGUCAAUCUAUAGAUCAUCGAACGAUCUAUUCAGAUCGGGAGAGAUAAAUUGAAGAGGAGUAGCGAGAACGGAUAGAUCUGAGAAAAACUCAUAAGUCAGAAAGCUCUGGAGAGGUUGCGAAAUGGUAGCUGAAAGAUAAAGCAGAAGAGACAGGGAAAUGAAGAAGAAAACGAUAAUUUAUUGAGGUGGGGAUAAGAUCGGACGGCUAGCAAUGAGAGAUGGGUUAUUAUUUUAACGGCUAAGAAUAAGCGUGGACGUAGAUAUCGGUGGGUGGUGUUUGUGGUUGACUACGACAUAAUGAGCUGGCCAAUUCAAUCGGACGGCUGUUAUUGGGUUUAAGCGGUGGGAAGAUUCUCGAUGCCGUCCUAAUUGAUUUUCUUUUUUUGUUUUUUGGUAAAAUCUGGAUGCCGUUUGUGACUAGGAUGGAAUAAGUUGAGACGUGUCCCGACUUGCUUCUCACGACAAAAAAGAAAAACAAAAAAUAAACGUGCUUCUCACGGUUACGUGAUAAGUUUGGAUUUCAGCUUGGCCUUACAAAGUAUCCUUUAAAAUAAUUUGUUUCUCUGUUUGUGGUCCCUAAUCGCCAAUUUAGACCAAUCCCAUUUAUACGCUUUUCAGUACUUAUCCUACUUUUUUUCUCUUAAUUAAAAACAUCAUCAUUUUUAUUAAGAUUCCGUUUGAUAAAACUGAAUCAAAAUUCUGAAGUCUGAAUUCUGAAAUCUGAAUACUGAAAUAAUUAAUUUGCUGAAUUUUAAACACUAAAAAAAAUAUAUGAAUGUUUGAAUUUUAAUGCUAAACCUAUUUAUACUGUUUGAUAAAUAUUUAUAGCUGAAUGCUUAAUAAAUUUAAUUUGACAAUUUUGUCCUUAUAUCCUUUCAUUCAAAAAAGAAAUAGAAUCUAUAAUUUAAUUAGUUUAAAAUUGUAAAGUAUGAAAAUGACAAUAUUUAUUUUUAAAUCAAAUUAAUGUAAAAGAUGAAAUUUAUUAUAUGAGGAGUAUGGAAAAGAUGUGAAAGUUAUUAAAAAGGGAGAAAAGAAAAACUAAAAAUCGUUAGAUAGAGAAUAUUAGAUUGUUUAAUUAGAUAAGAAUUUUGAAUAUAAUUAACAAACAAUGGUAGAUUUGGUAGAUAAAAUAAGGUAAUUGAAGUAAUUCUAUUGAUUCUUAUCAUAAUUAAGCAUUCAGUUAGGAUUCUUGUGCUGAAAAAAAUACACACAGGUUCAGCACUGCUUAACAAGUUCAGCAAAUAGAUUUUCAUUUAUCAAACACUCAAAACAUCUGAAUGUCUGAAAAAAUUCAGAUUCAGCACUUUUUUAUGUUAUCAAACAGACCCUAAAUCUGCCAUCUGCAUUAAUGAUAAAAGUUACGUUACCCGUAUACAAAAUGGAAACAAAUGCUGGAUGCUCCAUAUCUAACAUAAAUAAUUUAGAGACUGAAACUUUAGGACCCGUUUUCUCGAUCCACGCCACGAUCCUCCUAUAAGAACAAAAUUAUACUACUGUUGAAAUUGAAAUUAGAUCCGAAUGUGGUAUAUUCGAGUAGGAGAUUUUUUGAAAUAAAUGUGAUAGUACGUUUUAGGAUAUAAUAUACGUGAAAUAAAAAAUAAUAAAAAAUAUAAAAUAUAUUCUAAUACAAACAAAUAAUAUUUUGAUAUGUAAUACCAAACAUAUCCCAACUUUUGAUUUUCAUGUUUUCAUAUGGUUUCCGGCCUUCUACGUACUCUCGCAGUGGUUUGUUUGAACUUUUGACGAGGACUGCAUCUUAAGGGUGAUGGGACAAGAGAGGACCUAACUUGUGUUUUCUGGAUCCACUCCAUCAAAUUCUCACCUUAAUUUAUUACAUAUCUGGUUGAAUUUUUUUGGACAUUGAAUCCAUUUUAAAAGAUCUCAUCAUUAUUAUUGGAGUUUAAAACUGGAAUGAUUAGCAGAUCUAGCGGUGCAAUGACUUGUCUUACUAGAAAAUAAUUCUGAAACUAGCCACUAGAUUUGUGUAAAAGAAAUUAACAACUGAUAAAGAUUUUCAAAUCGAAAAUUGAAAAUUUGCAGAAACUAAAAUCAGAACAUCAAAGAGGAAUAGGGAUAUGCAAAUUGUAAUGCAAAGAUACAUCACCAGGGAAUUUGGAUAUAUAUAUAUAUAUAUAUAUAUUGUGUUGAGGUUAUGGGUUGACUUUUCAUCAAAAAGCUUGUAAGGAUUUUAACUAAAGUCCAUGGAGAUAAGCAUAUUCAAAUUCUAUAUUAAAAAACUUUAAGCUUAAAUUCGAUAUUUUGAAAACUCUGUUUCUCUGACUUGCUUAAAUUCAAUAUGCAAACAUAUACAUCCUUUUUUUAUGAGGUUUGUUGAUAAAAUCAAAUGCAAAUCAAACUAACAUCCACUAGGACUUCAUGUUAUGAUUCAUGCUAUUCUUAAUUCCAAAUUUACCAAAGAUUUUUCUAACAAGUGCUCCCAACACUUUAAUUACACUUCAUUUACUGUACGCCAAAAAAAUUACAAUGUGGAUAUACACACUUAUAUUAAUUAUCUCUUCAAUUUAGAUACUUUUUCAAAUUAAUUUUAUUCUUACUAAUGGAAUUAGCAUUUGAAAACCAAUGUUGCAGAGGCAACAAUGGAAUGGAUAUGCCUAAAGUCGGGGUUGCAUAUGAUUGAAAGUCAUUGCUUGGACACGGACCAUAAAUGAUGGAGGGAUUUUCUAGGUAAGUAAAGUAAAAUCUAUAUUAAGAGGUCUCCAUUGUUGCCUAUAACAAUUGCUGAUGCUGAUGCUGAUACUGAUGCUGAUGCUAAUGAAUAGGAGGAGAAAGAGAAGGUUUCAUCGUGCUCUAGGGUUUUGAUGGUUUGUUUUGGUUCUUUGUUUUUGAAGGUUUGAUUUGGUUUUUCGCUUUCGAAUUUUGAUGUUUUGGCAGUUGACUUGGCUGUAGCAGGGGAGCUGCCGGAGAUUUUUGUAGGAGCUUUUAGGCCUGAAGAUUUCAUCGUUACUGGCUGGAAAAUAUGGAAAUUUCGUGGUUUUGGGAAAGAUGUAAAUUUCGUAGUUUGGUUUUAUAUGGAGAUCGCUGCUAGGGUGGUUGUCUUGCAUGCAUCAACAAUUUCCUCCUACUAAUGCUAAACCCUAUCUGACCGGCUAACCCUAAUUGUAUGUUGCAAUUUCAAAAGCCUUGCUUAACAAAAGAAAACACCCCAAACUUAUCUGCUUUUGCUGCUAACUUCUAGGGAUCAAGAUGUUGCUAAAUUCUAGGGAUCAGUAUGUUUAUCUAGAAAUUACAAUUUACAAUUUAGAUAUAUGAGUAAGAUAGUUUAUACGGUUUCAUUAUUGAAUUCAUGAUAUAUGUACAAAAGUUGAAUUUUGAAUUCAACUCUUGCAUAAUUUUCAUUCAUUCAACACUGUUAGUGUAUAUGUAAUUGCAUAAUUGUAUAACAGUAUAUACACUGUCAUUGUAGUAAAAUAUUAAUCCUUUACAUAUUAUUAGUUGAUAAGUUAAAUAUAGAAUAGUGGUAAACAAGUAAAAAGUUUUUAUCUAAAAAUAUUAGCCAAUUAGAUGUGUCAUAUAUUAAACUCUUCCUUUUCUUCUUUCUAAUACGCCUUCGAAAAAUAGCAUAGAAUUUCACUCGAUUGACAGUGGAUUGAUAUGAAUUAGGCCUUCAAAUAAUAAUAAUAAUUAGGAGGAGAGAACCCGCGCAACACGUGGGAGUUGGGUGCCUGUGAUUGAAGGUAGUGAAUCAUUAUGAUAUAGAGAAAGUUUUAUAAAUUUUUGUUUGAUAAUUUAUAGUUUAUCUCCACUUGAUUAGGGUAUAUAAGUAAAAUUGUGCACAAAUUGUGGCAUUAUUGUUUAAUGAAUCAUUUGAGUUGAUGUUUGGAAAUGGAACUAUGAAUGAACUACAAAUGUAGUUCAUGAAGAUUAACUAAAUCCAGAAGCAAUGAAAUAAUCAUUAACCAUUCACUAUGAUAUUAAGAUGGUAUCCAACAAGAAUUUCACCUAAUUUUGUAAAAGGUUUCUAAGCUACACAUAUGUCUAAAAGAAUAUUGAGAUACAGUCUAGUAUUUCAUGUCCAAGUUAUUCAAUAGGAAAGAAAAGUAAAAUUGGUCAAAAAAAGAAUCCUAAAACACAUACCUUAGGUUUCAUUCCAUAGCAGACAAGUAUAGCUCAUUUGUACCUAAUUUCAUAAGUUUCAACUAUAGAUUAUAUGCUUAGCAAUUGCUAAUAUAUAUAUAUAUAUAUAUAUAUACACACGAAUCGCUUUUAAUCUAUUGCAGAAAUUUUUGCAACAGAUUCCAAUAUUUACAUAUUUACAGAUACCAAUAUUUUUUCAAUGACUAAAAUGCCUACCAUACCAAAUGCUCAAAAAGUAGAAAAGGCAUUACUCUUACAUUUGAUGAUGAAAACAAAAUUUAAGUAAUCACAGCAAAAUAAGAGUUAGAAUGACUUGCACUCAAUGUUCCAAUCAUAGUCCAAACAUUCUCGUAUUUCCAAACUAGCCUUAACCUUAAAUGUCUAAAACAUCAUCUACGUAAUUACAAUAAAUCCAAAGUUGUUAUGACUUGUACCUAAUGUUCUAAUGAUAUUUCAAAUAUUCUCAUAUUCCCAAAUUAUCUCUAGUCUUGUGUUUGAAAUUCAAAUACAAUCUUUGAUCACAAUUCAUUCUUAUAUAAUAUAACUAGGAGGGGAGUACCUGCGCAUCGCACUGGUGUUUGGUGCCUAUGGUUUAAGAGGAUUUUACAGAAGUUCAAACGAAUAUCAAAAAACUCACACACAUUGAGUAACAAUAUGGAGUAACAAAAUAUCUAAUGUAUACUGGGAGAUGGAGAAGAAAAUUAUGCAUGCUAUCUUGCUCGGUUCAUAUAUUUUGGAACAAACACUUGUAUAUGAGUUUUUCAUUAACAAGACUAAAUGAACUUCGAAUAGGUACACAAACGAUUUAGAAAAUGACAAUAAACAAAGUGAUUAUCUAUUUAAAGAUGCAUCUACACAACAUUCUUGUUGAUGAAAGUAGCCAACUUUUGCGGCAAUGACAAAGCAUUUUCUCCCUUGAAAAAAAAUAAAUUGAAGACAUGAUCUUCCCCUACAACCUCCACAUCUCUACCCCACUCACUCUUCUCUAAAGUCUCUUUAUAAAGCCAUCCCCUAUCUUUUAGAAUAUCCUUUUCAACAACAUAAAUGAUAAAUCAGCAUCCUUUUGCAGCCUAAACCUUGAAAAGUUUGGUUCUAUCAGAGGAUUCAACAAUGGAUAAUCAACCCCCAUAGAUUUUGGGUGAACAUAAUGCCGGAUCCUCUCAACAUAGGCCUUCACCUGUAAUUUCAUUAGCUCAAUACCGAUUAGCUCUUCUCCAAAAAAUAAGGACAAUUGAGAAAAAUCGCAUAAAGAUUGAAGUUGUCUAGUAUCUCUAGCCAAACCCUUGACGCCAUGUUAUGUGUUAAGUUGCCACCAGCAUUGUCCCCACCAAAAAACACGCUAUCAAAAUCAGCAUAAUCUAUGAACCAUAUCUCAGGUUCCUCACCAUUCGAAUGAUAGGCUACCCAUUUGACUGCAAUCUAAGAAUCUUCAUAAGCAAUAGGUAGAGAGUGUUCAAGGGUGAGCCGAUAGUUAAUUGAAACUGCUACAACACCAGUUUCUACAACUACUGCAUUAAGGUGUGUGUGAUAUGUAGAAAAGAAGAUAAAUUCGAUCAAAAAGCCUCCGCCAUAUAAAUAGACAAGAAGAGAAAGUUUUGUAUCUCUAAACCUAUUCUAACAAAAUCACACCAUUUAAAUUGUACAGAACAACCAACUUUAUAGGGAAACAAUAAUAUCAACAUUAAAUUGCGCAAACCGAGUAUCCAAUUUCAGAAUGGAAGCAUUUAGCUGACAAUAGAAACUACGAUUUUACAAAGCAAAUCAUACCAUUAAAAAAAAAAAGAAUGAAAGCUCACAUAAAACUGAACCACCAAGAGUAGCUUCACCAAAGAAUCAUAUUGAAAUCCCACAAGUGCAUGGCAAUACAAAUAACUAUUUAUUGGAAGGCGAAAGGAACAUAAUGGAAGAAUGCGAAGGAGCGGACAUUUAAAGAAUCUGAAACUAAUGCUCGGUUAUAAAUUCCUUAGUAAACCAACACUAAUAAUUGAUGUAAGCCAAAAUGAAUGUCUCUGUAAGAACAUUUAAGUAAUUACACCAAUAAAGAAGCUAUUAUGCAUUGUAGCCAUCUUAGAAAAGAUGACCAAAUAAUCUCAUAUUUCCAAAAUACCCAAACAUUUGAACAAAUCAUCAUUGCAUCUUUUAAAAUACAAUGAUAUUUCGGUGAACACAAGAGUACAUAUGCUAUCUUAAAUAGUACCCAACGCUAUAAUUACACUCAAAACAAUCUCAUAAUCCCAAAAUACCCCUACUCUUGCGGUUGAAAUUCAAAUCCAUUCUUUAACCCAAACUAUUUUAUAUAGUAUAAGGAUUACUUAUAUUUUUCAGAUCUAUUUAUAACUUUUUAGAUCUUUUAUAUCUGUUAAAUUACAUAUUUAUAAUUUCUAGUUAAAUCAAAUUGUAUGCUACAAAUUGUGAUGGUUGAUUUCCAACAAUCGAUUAAUGAAAUUAGCUUUUUAGCAAAAAAAACGUAUAAUAUAAAUAAGGGUUAAUGAUUUUUUGUUAUAUAAAAAGGUAUUAUAUAAACAAAGGGUAGCUUAAUAUCUAAAUUAAAAUUUCAUUCCAACCUAUAUGAUGGCUACAGAUUGGCCUCCUCAACUGGUUCUACGAAUUUUCCCCCUAAUAGUUUGCAUCUUUCAAUUAAAAUAAAAAAUAGUACUAAUUUUUUUACUAGCACAAACAACAAGCUAUAUAAUCUCUCAGUACAGAUGAUCCAUCAAGUCUCAAAGAUCAAUUUGGAUAAUAAAUAUUGUUUAAAACCAUUGAUUAGCAGAUCUCACGAUGCAAUGUCUUAUUUUACUAGAUUCUUGUAUUUUUCAUAUCUAUUCAUAUUUUUAAUAUUUAUAAUUUCUAGUUAAAUCAAACUGUAUGAUACAAAUUGUGAUGGAUGAUUUCCAACAAUUGGUUAAUGAAAUUCAUUUUGUAUCAAAAAAAUGUAUAAUAUAAACAAGGGUUAAUGAAAUUUAUUUUUUUUUAUAUAAAAAAGUAUAAUAUAAACAAAGGGUAGCUUAAUAUCUAAAUUAAAAUUUCAUUCCAACCUAUAUGAUGGCCAUAUAUUGGCCUCCUCAACUGGUUCUACGAAUUUUCCCCCUAAUAGUUUGCAUCUUUCAAUUAAAAUUAAAAAAUAGGUCUAAUUUUUUUACUAGCACAAAACAACAAAGCUGUAUAAUCUCUCACUACAGAUGAUCCAUCAAGUCUCGAAUAUCAAUUUGGAUGAUAAAUGUUGAUGAAACUUGAAGGCUUGGUGUGGUUGGGAAUUAAUAAGUCUCUAUCACUGAUGAAAAAGAAAAUUGAGAUAUGGACAUGAGUAAUUAUUUGUUAGGGCAUGAGCAAUGACUUCAAAAAAUUGAGAUAUUAACAUUGCAACUAAACCAAAUCAAGCCAGCGGAACAACAAGAGUUCUUACAUAUUCAAUCUUUCUAGUCCUUUUCCCAGAUUCAGAAUGCAAACCCAUUUUCAAAUGAUUUUCCACGAUGCAGAAGAUUCGGCUGACAAUUUUUUUAAAAUCCGUUGAAAUGAGGUUGGUGUGGUGGUUAAGCUUAGUAGUGUAGCCUUUCAUAAAAUGAGAAUUAGAUCCACUAUUGCCUUUCACAUGGUAAACUUUGAUCAGAAGGCAGAAUUGAUUCUUUGCAGACUGCAUUCACUUGCUUUUUCUCAUAUGAUUCUUGCUAAGAAUCAGAAUGCAACUCAUCUGAUGAUGCAUAAUACAUUGGGAUUUGUUUGGCAAAGUUGUUUCUCCUCAAAUUGCUUUUACAAGAAGCUGUAAAAUGCCUAUGGCCACAUUGCUUGGAUUACAAUUGAAGUCUGGAGUAACUCUCGAGUGCCACGGAGAAUAGAGCAGCAGAGGCAGAUAGCAGUGAGGCAUAACGUUCACGUCAAUCUUUCAUUUCAACCUUACCCAACACCGAAAGAUCCCUCGCACCUAAGUGAAGAGAAUUAACACAUUCUUUCUCAUUUCAGUCCCAUCUAUACACGAAAAAAAAAGAGCAGAGCCCCAAAAAAAAUCUGAGGAUGUUUUUCUAUUCCCAUUUGCCAAAGUCCGAAAAUUAUGACCUGUAUGCUCUACUUCUCCGCUUCUAGCUGAACCGGUUCUUUGCUUUACCAUUUUAUUUUUGGCUGCUGUCAGGACAUAGCAUCAACCAAAUCAUGGCCGCAAAAUCAGACUUUGCUCAGAAGCUGCUCCACGAUCUUCGGCUGAGGAAAGAGAGAAUGGCUGCCGCUCAGAACUCGAGCAGCUCAAAUUUGACAUCCAGAGGUAAAGAAUUUCAGCCAAUCAUAAGAUUUCAGCCAAUUACAGGACUUGUUAAGUGCAGCAUUGCUUUCUCCAAGUAUAACUAUAACUGUAGAUUUGUUAAAGAAGUUACGACUAUAUUUAUUGCAUUUCACCAUCGAAUUCUCUGUUUAUUACCUUUUGAGUAUUAUCAUUUACCGUUCAAUGGUUUCAAGCAAUUCCAAAAGGUAAGUAGAUUAAGUGGGAAAUCACUGGUUAGGACACGAGAUGUGAUGAAAAUGCAUACAUGCUGGACUUGGAUAAUAUCAUGCAGAGCCACAUACCCACAUGUUUAUUUAGUUGCUUUAGAUCUAAUCAGCCUGUCUUGUUGUAGCUUGCAUAUCAAAGUGUAGCCAGGACCACACGUCCUAAUUGCUUGUGCAUGAGUUUUCAUGAAAAUUUUCAAUGCGUGAGCAGGUGCACAUGGAAGCCCAGGGCCAGCGUAUAAAGGCUCUCGACAAGUUAAAGCUUUAGAACCUGUAAGUUUGAUUUUGAUGAUAUUGGAAAAUUGUUUAAUCCGCCUGAGACAGGCGAGUUUCUGCAGCAUACUUUUAGCUGGUUAAACAUUGUGCUAUCCUGCAGGUUGGUCCUAGAUCUGGGGGCUUAAUCAGAAAAGGCAGUAGUGGCACUGGACAGCUUCGCAUUGGAGACUCUUCAAAUCAAAUUGUUCUCUAUGGAAAAGGCAGAAGUUCGGAGCAUAUAGGAGAUCUGUCAACAGCUCUAGCGUUUGCCUUUGGAAAUGGGGGGAAGUUCAACAAAAUAGAUGCUUCAGGCGGGAACCCAAUGCUAAAUUUUCUCCAGCGAAUUGGCAGGAGAUCUCUAGACACUGGAAGAAUGGACAUAGUGACUAAUAUUGAUAUGCAUACUUCAACCACUCAGUUUCCUUCUUUCUCUCAUAUCCAUAUUCAUGAAAUAUCAAAAGGGGUGCAAAAAUUAAACCAGAUUCUCAGAGCCUGUUCCAAUGGCCUCAAUUUUGAUAGAUACUCCGUUGAAGUUGGCAAGGAACUGCUCAGAGGUGCCAUGGAUUUGGAAGAGUCCCUCCGAAUGCUGGUAAACCUGCAGGAAGCUUCGGAUUACAUGAUCAAUUCUCAAAGGAAGAAUAAGAUCAAAUUGAUUGAGGAAGAUGAAGAUGACGAAACUGAGACAGCAAAAGAAAAUGACUUGAAGCAACUGGCUCGUCCAAGAUUCUCAUUUGAUAAGCCCAACAGGAAAUCACAAAGCACCAAGGAGGCACCACAGAAUGGUAUCAAGCAGCAAUUGAUGGCCUUGACAUAUCCGGAAGAAACUCCGAAACUGCAAGAAAAGCAACCUCGAAGUAGAUCCAAUUCAUUCUCUCAUGCAAGAUCUGCUACUUGUGUUCCAGACCUCAAAGCUCUUUCAACGUACUUGGAACCAAAUGGUCACUCGAUUUCACAUUCAAAACCUGAGAAAGGGAGAAUACCAAAUGUCAUCGCAAAACUUAUGGGUCUCGAAGAACUUGCUCCAAAAGAUGGGUCGAAAACCACACCAAAAGAAAUGAGAUCCAAGAAAAAGGAAAAGACAGUCUCAUUGAAAAGUCAAACUCCUGCGGACUCACAGGCUCAAGAAACAGGGAGUAACCCACCAACCACAGCUAAUAAAAACGCGCUAUCAUCAAACAAAUCAGCAACGAGGGAUGCCAGACUUAUGAUGGAAGCAGAAAACUUUCAGUCUAUCCCAAAUGGCAGCUCUCCAGUGGUUGUUUCUCACAAAAACUCCCGUUGGCAGGACUUCGAAGCGGCAGCUAGAAAAGAUGCAAGUCCAGGUUCAAAAAGAGCCACAGUGGCAAGUAAACAACAAAACAGAAUCAGCCAACAUGACGAAACGCUUGGAUACACAAAAGUUUUACAAGAAAAGGAGAAAGCAGAAGAUAACAAAGAGGACAAAGAAAAGAACAUCAGAAAGGCAGGCGAAAGGAAGGAUCUAUUCUUAAAUGAUGUCCCGCUGCAAAACGGACCAGACAGACACAGAUUGUCAGAAGGUGAAGAUGUAUCAGAAGAAAAUGUUGAGGUCAAAAGAAAUGCAAAUCAAACAGGAAAUAGAACUGCAAUUCAAACAAAAAAUAGCAAUGGCGGCAGUAUUCACACGAGCAAGCAACAGAAGCACCAAAAUAAUAUGCAACAGCCGCAGAUGCUUGAAAGACGUGAUCAUCCAGAAGGGAAAAAAAGGCAACAACCUCCAAAACAAAGAUUGCAGGCUAGAGAACCUAAAGGAAAUCAAGUGGAGUCAAUUGUUACAUUGAAGGCCAAGAACAGACCAAAAAGUUCACAAAAGAAGCAAUCAUCUGCAAAUUUAGCUACAGCUGCAGCUAACCAGAAAAAUGCAAUGAAACACAUUGAAGUAAAGCCGUCAAAAGAUCUGGCCAACAGCAGACACCAUGAGUAUCGUGCAAUACAUUCUGUCCAUUUCCCUCUGCCACAUGGAAAAGCUAAUUACACGAAAACGUUGACAGGUCAGACCCAUCAGAAGGAAGAUGCAGCAGUGAACAAAAUAAAUGGAACUUACGAUGACCAGGCAAGAUCAAACAAUCAUCAGUCCCCAAUUCCACAAGAGAAGAAACAGCAGAAGGAUGAGAAACUCAGCCACUCCAACGGAGUAAACCAGGAGACAAACAUUGAAUCUGAAGAAGCAAAUCUAGGCAUCAGAGGUCUUGAUAAACCAGAAGUUAGCACAGAACCAUUAAAGAGGAAGGAUUCCUUGGACAAUGAAUGUGAAGAACAGAACUUCUCCAAUUCGGGAGAAGAAGACUAUGCACGUCUGGAAGCUUCAAAAUCUCAAACCUGUGAUGACAAUGUAAAGAUUAACAUCGUCAAACUUAUGAGCUGCAUGAAUCAACUAUCGUUUAACAUGGGAAAAUAAUCAUAUACUUCUGACCUAUUUAACUUGUGGGUAAAUUUGGAAUAUCCUGACUUGAUGAUUUACUGGCUCCCUGCAGAGUAAUGAGAUGACACCAGACAUACAAGAAAUUCCAGAAGACCAGCAACAUGGAGACAAAGCAACAAUGUCCUCCAAUGAUUUCCCACUGAAAUCUCAGAAAGCCUUACAUAUUCAACUUACAGGUAAAUGUGGGAUGUGAUAUGUAAGUUGACACUAUUAGCCAAACCUAAAAACAGUUUAUACUUCUCCCAUUGCGGAAAAUAUUUCCUCAACUUCAUAGAAUAAAAGAAAACAUUCUGAGAUUGUUAUUCUCUUAGAUCAACACUCUUCUUCAACGAUAAAACUUUCCUUUGCAGAACAAAUUACCUAUCUAAUUCAUCUCUAAGGUUCCUUUUGUCCCUUUGCUUUCUUUUCAUGGAGUGGCACCAAAGCAUCUACUGCUUCUAAUUUAACAUCAACAAUUUCCUACCAAAAUUUUUUAUAACGUGGUAGAACCUUAACUAGUCGUAUAUAACCAUGGCAAGUACAGUUCUAAAAAUUUAUCUGUAGAUAUGCAUCCUUGACAUGUUCUCCCAAUGCUUGAUGUUGCAGGAAUGGAUGAAGUAAGUAGAGGAAUUAGUAAUGUGGUGCGUCGUGAUCACACGAGGAUCCCUCCAACAGGGGCAGCGGAGCUACUCACAGAAUUUGAAAAGCAUCUCAAGGAAAAGUUGAUAAAAGGUCAACUAUUUCUAAACACAGCAGAGGCAAUUUUCAAACUCAACAUACCUGUCAGCAUACUUCAUGGCCAUGAUCACAUUGGUCGAGAUACAGAAACUAAACUCAUAUUAGACUGUGGAUAUGAGUUGCUAAAGAAAAAGGGACAAAGACAAGAAUUUUCAGUUUAUCCAUGCAAAGGAAUGUCCAUCAGUUAUAUCAAAGUAAGGUCAUUGGAUAAUUUGGUCAAGCAACUGAGCAAGGACUUUGACGUGUUAAAAUUUUAUGGAGGGACGAUUGGGAGCCAAGACUGUGAUGCGGCAGAUUACUUGCAUAAGAUGUUGGAGAAGGAUUUCCGAAAUGGGCAUGCAGAUGUGAGCAGCAUGUGGGAUUUUGGCUGGAAUGAGAAGACAUUUGCCUUCCUUGAAAAGGAUGAUCUUGUUAAGGAUUUAGAGAAGCAUAUACUAAAUGGACUUCUAGAUGAGAUCACACGUAAUCUAUUACACAUUGCUGUUUCGGCUUGAUUGUUUCAAAGCACACAUCUUGACAGUCUAAAGAUCGUAUUUUGUUUAUUAAUUUAAGAAAAAAAAACCUAUGUAAUAGUUUUGAAUUGAAUUUUGCAGUUUUGUAACGAGGGAAUCGGAAAACAAAAAGAAACUCUUUUUCUCAGUCACAAUUUUGGCGUCUGGUUUGCUGCAAUUGCACUUAGGUAACACACACAGUGACACGGAGAUACCUUCAUUUUCCACUAUACAUCCUAGCCUUCCAACUCCAGUUUCAGUGUGUGUUUUCUCUCCUGGAAAUUUGAAUUUCCAAAAGGUCUAAAUUUUUACUGUUUUUCUUGCCAUUGCAUUCGUUUGUCACUUACCUUCUCAUUUUCCCAUUCUCCAUUGAUAAUCCAAAAAACUCUUUUGGCCAAAUGAACCAUGCACAGAACCCAUCGCCAAUUAGAAUAUUGGGACUAAAGUUCAAAGAUUUAAAACUGUUGAAGAAGAAUAUGGUUAAAUGCUCCUUUUAAUUUUAUUGAAUACAUUAGUUUAUAUGGCGUACUUUUUCUCUGGGGGUCUAAGACUAAGAGAGGAUACAGAAAUGGCUUCAUUAGACGCAGCGUCUCUCCGAGAAUCAGAUUUGCAGCUUUACUUCACGAAAGUCUCUGAUCACCCGAAUUGGCAAACCAGAAACUGAAAGUCCCAGAACAGGAUGUGUCGAAAAUCUUGCCACUACAACUUCUUUUUUUUUUUUUUUUUUUUCGACACAGGUAUUCAAUCCUUACGGGUCCGACUAAUUCCCUGGACUACUACAAUUUUUUUUUUUUUGCCACUACAACUUAAAAGCGUAAAUUUCACCCGAAAGCUUCGUUUGUGACUUUUGAAAAUAUGAACUUACAAGAUCGAACACAGCCGUCUUAGCUCAGCCGGUAGAGCGCGUGGCUUUUAACCACGUGGUCGUGGGUUCGAUUCCCACAGACGGCGUUUGGCGUCAGCAUUUUGCCUAUUACCUCCGCAGUCAAUGCCCACUUGGUUGUACGAGUCUUUUCUUCUUAAUGAUUGUCGACCGCCUAUGGGACUUAAAUUAGUUGUGUCCCGUCUUAGCUCUUUUCCCAUGUGUUUUCUGCAUGGGGCCUUUCUCGUUUGAGAGUGGGAUGGAGGCCGAAAUUUGGGCUUUGGUGAAAAAAAUUGGGGUGCAUUCAAGAUAGUAAUACUAUCUUUGAGUUUGAACUUCAAAUAAUUGAGCAUUACUUGAAUUCAAGCUCAAACGAACAUUCCUAUCAUGCUCGAGCUUGACUCGAAAAAACUUGAACUUGCCUAUCCAAGUUGAACCAAGGCUUAUUUAGAUUUUUAAAAUUUGAACUUGACUCAAGCUCUAACUCAAAGUUUCGACUUAUUUAGAUUUAUAAAGUUUGAACUUGAUUUUGUAAAAACUUGAACUCCAACUUGAGAUCAAAAAACUUGAACUCGCUUGUCCAAGUUCAACCAAGGCUUAUUUAGAUUUUUAAAAUUUGAACUUGACUCAAGCUCUAACUCAAAGUUUCGACUUAUUUAGAUUUAUAAAGUUCGAACUUGAUUUUGUAAAAACUUGAACUCCAACUUGAGAUCAAAAAACUUGAACUCGCUUAUCCAAGUUCAACCAAGGCUUAUUUAGAUUUUUAAAAUUUGAACUUGACUCAAGCUCUAACUCAAAGUUUCGACUUAUUUAGAUUUAUAAAGUUCGAACUUGAUUUUGUAAAAACUUGAACUCCAACUUGAGAUCGAGUUGGAUUUCCAAAAUUAGUUUUCAAACAUUUUCCAACAAACCCAAAUAUUAAAUUCCAAACCAAUUUUCAAAAUUUCCAACAAUUUUCAAUAUAAGUCUGAAAAUCCAAAUUCAACUAAAUAUAAGUCAACAAUAUACAGCUUUCUAAUCUCAAAAAUACCAAAUGAAAUAAGGCAAGAGUUACAAGAAAAAUGUAGCUUUUUAAUCUUAAAAUCACAUAAUGAAAUAAGAACAAAUUUCAAGAAUAAAAAGACCCAGCAACAAUUGACAAAGAUAAAGAAUACUUAUUUUAACCCUUGAUUUCCCUCCCUUCCCAAUUUUAAAUCCCACAAUUAGUCUAAACUUCCAUCACUAAAGUAACAAUUGGUAUAGAGAGAGAUGAAAAGAAAAGGACAACUAGAGAGAGAAGUCGCUCUUUUGAUUUCGUGUCAUUUACGACGACACGCCUGAGAGAGAGCUCGAGAGAGGAGAGGGAGAGAGAUGGGUAUUUGUGUUGUGUUUAAGAAGGAAAGCCAUUGCAGAGAAGAAAGGAAGGUAUGCAGAGAAACGCAAGUAAGAUUGUAAGGGAUAGGUUUCUGAUUUUUGGGUGCUAUAUUUACUAAUUUGCCUGUAAAAAUAAUUGUUUUAAAAUAUGGCAUCGUACUAAAUUUUCUAACAAGUUUGUAUAAAUAUGUAAUUUAAUAAUAUUAUAAUAUUCAAAUGAGUAAACUAUUUGAUUAAACUCGUUAAGUACUCGAGUGCAGUAUCUUAAUACUUGAAUCUGGUUCAUUUAUGUAAUAGAGCAUGCUCAAUCUCGAUUAGAACUCAGUCACUUGCGAGUAACUCACAAGUAGUUCGUUUGGAUUAUAGCCUUAGGAAAAAAAAUAAUAUUUGAGGUUCGGAGGAGAAAAUAAUAAUAUUUGAGAUUUAGUGAAAAGAAAAUGACUUUAGACAUCUUAGGUCUCAUUCUCAUUUGUUCUUUAACGUUUAUCAACGAAAUAGGUCUUCUUUUGAAUAGCUUCAAAUCACUCUCUUUAUUAAUUUCUCUCCACAUAUUGGAGAUAGGUUUCCUUAAUUCUUGAUCCUCCUCCCCCAUUACUCACUCUUUCUCUUCAUUUAGGACUCCAGAACAAAGAUAAGCAUUUAGUUUGUCUUCUGCUGUCCCAAGAAGUACUGAGCAGGUGGUACUCAUUGAAAAUUGAAACUAACCUUAAUGGUUAAGAAUCUCGAUGAUGAUGUCAAGAACCUCCGUUAAGUGGAUGCUUUCCACACCUGUCUUGGAUUAGCUGAAUACACUACAGAAUUUACCACUAUAACAAUAGCGAGCUUCAUUAAGGUCUAUUACAUAGUACAGCAGAUGAACAGCAGAAUUUUUACGUUGAAAAUAUGAUUUUAGUAGUAAAUGUAUGCACGAAGAUUUUGAUCCUUGUCAUCUCAAAAGUAUUACUUAAAAAAAAAAAAGGAAAAAGGAAAAGCUAAAGGAACCUGAAUCUGGAAAUAAGUUUGACAAGCCUGCGCACAAAAAGUUUGCCCAUCACCACAAGCUACCAAGAACAGGAACGCACGAUAACUAACUCUAGGAAGCCAUAUUGUCACCAUAAAAGUCAUUUCCCGGUGGCACGCAAAGAGGAAAAUUGACGAGAAAGAUGCCUUUUUCAUGUCUCCCCUAAUAAUUGACGACGGGUCCAUGUUUUGGAGCAAAGCAAAGAUAAAGAUGCCCUGGUAAAUACUAGAGUACAACUUUAUGUGGGUGGAGUUGCCAUCUAAGCAGACCAUUAAGAACAUCUUAAAGUUGAUAAACCAAUGCAGUAACCACCAGCUCUUGGGCUUUGGUGGGAGUGAACCUUUCCUCCCACUAAAAUGUCACUUUCAUGGCUCUUCUUCAAAUUCAGACGGGUGCGUAAUGCACUCGUCUGGUCCGGUGAUGGUUCUGUCCCCAUCGAUUCUCCGUAAGCUCAGUUGAACCUCCUCUAAUUAGAGUAAGAGUAGAAGUAGGGAUGACAAUUGAAAAAAAAAAAAAAAAAAAACCAAUGCAGUAGAGUUUUCUAAGAAAAAGGCAAUAAUUUCUAUACCCUACUUUAACUCUUCAUCGAGCUUGAAUCAAAGCUUAGCCCCAUCGCCAGGGCCAAUUGGUCAUUUUCAAUAUUCUUAAAGGACUUUAACACUUGACUUAGAAAACAUUUUAACCACCUAUAUGUCUCAUAUUAAUUACUGCAGUAUUAUUUCAAAAAAAAAAAAUUUCUAAAUAAUCCUCUAUCUUUCGAAACACGCUCAAUUUAUUCACAAUAAAGGUCUCUUUCCGAGUAGCAUAUUCAAGCCUUGCCAUGCUUGACAUAUGUUUUAAAAGGAUAAAGAAGACGAUGACAACAUGUAUUGAUGUGAUGCACCCAAGGUCUAAUGUUCGACAGCUUGUUGCAAACUUCUUUUUACCUAAACGGGUUGCUUUUAUUGUGGAAAGAUUACUUGUGAUCGAAUUAUGCUCUCCUUCUUCCCAAAGUUGGCUCUCCUUUAUUCUACUAUUCUAUUAGAAGCUCCUUCCCAGAAUGCUAAAAUUGCAGGCUCUUUCUUUUUCUAUGGUCCAUUCCUUUUUCGUGAGUCUAAUAGUGUAGUAUUAUACUUACAAAGACCGAAAUGUAAUCACGUUUCUAGGGAGAGAAAAGUAGACAUCCAAAUUGGAAAAUGAAUAACAAAUAAUUAAAAGGACAAAAAGUGAUUUCUUAAUGUACAAGGAAAAGUUGUUUCAGAUUUAGAGACUUCCCUAUGGACUGAAGGAGCUGGGAAACUGCUUUGAACGUGAAUAUCUGCUGGCUUAUGGACUUUACGCUCUACCUUUCCAUAAUUCUCCCACGCUCGAGUCAAAAAGGAAUAUGUUUCCCCAUCCCCAGCGAAGGGAUAGGGGUAAUUGCGACUAAUCCAAAUCACUUUUGUUUAAGGACUUGUUUCUAGAGCUGUUAAACGAACCGAGCUGUUCGGUAGCUCGGUUCGUUUCGGCUCGUUCGUGUUCGUGAAAGGCUCGUUCGAAAUUUUAAACGAACCGAGUUCGAACGAAUUUUUUUGUUCGAUUAAUAAUCGAGCGAACACGAGCAUGUUCGACUUUUAUAUUUGGAGGGCAAAUUUCUUUGUUUUAUUUGUUGUUUUUAUGUUAAUGUUAGUUAUAUAGUUAAUUUUUUUUUUUGUCGAAACCAUAGGAUUCCUAUAACCUAAACUAGCCUAUUCUAGGGGGAGGGGGAGGGGACUCGAUGUGAGUAGAAACUCCAUCGAAGAUGGUCAAAGAAGACCGUCACAAAUUGUGACAAAUUUUUGAGGGAGGCAGGGUUCGAACCCAGAACCUCUUUGCAUCACCAAACCUUAGAAGGCUUGGGAUGACCACUGGACCAAAGGCCCAAUGGCGUUAGUUAUAUAGUUAAUGAAUAAUAGAAUUUAGUCACUUAGUGCUUUAAUUAUUUUUUAGAAUGAUUAAUAAUUUCCAUGGCAUAUUUAAGGCAUAAAAUAAUUUGGAUUCGAGCAUUUCGAACAUGUUCGCGAACGGCUCGUUUAUGUUAAACGAGCCGAACUCGAACUCGAACUCGAACACGAAUUUUACUUAACGAACCGAACACGAAUACAGGUUUGGAGUUCGAAAAUUAACGAACGAACACGAACGUUGUUCGAACUGCUUAACGAACAGAACUCAAACAUGAGAUACUCGGUUCGAUUCGGUUCGUUUACAGCUCUACUUGUUUCUAAGGAUGGUUAAUGGAGCCGGGUCGGUCCGAAUUCGGUUCAUUCGUCCAAAAAAACCUGAUGACACUAAAUUAUGUCAAAAGAUUCAAAAGGACAAAUCUCAGUACAAACAAGUGGAGGACCUUUGAAGAUGUUUUAACUGUUGAUCAUAUUUUAUUACCAUUUUUCAUGUAUUUUGGACUAAUUGGAUGUAUUAUUGUUGAAAAAUUCUUGGUUUGUAUAUUUUUUGAUAAAUUGUUACUGGUUCAUGUAUAUUUUAAUGUUGUGGCCCUAUGGAUAUUGAUUAAUUUUAGAACUUAAUUGUUAUAGUAAUUAUAUUAAGAAAAUUAAAGAACAAUAAGUGAGUUUGAACUAAAUCCAAAUUCGACUCACGGUCCAAAUAUUUUGUAAGACAAGUAUGAAUUUCGCAUUUUUCAAUCCGGAAUUCAAAAAUGGUACUAACUAUAUGAGUCAAAUCUAAACUUGUUAAAGUUUAACUCAAAUGCCUAUUUUUUUGUUUGGUAGUUUUGGCUAGAAAAUCACAAUCGUCAUAUUGUGAUUUCUAACAAAAAUCAAAUUAUUGUGUUGCUUAGAGUUAACUAUAUCGUUAUUUUGAUAAAAAUCAAGUUUAAAUUGCUCGAGCUCUUUGAAAUUAUGGAACUUUGCAUACAAUUUUAUGUUUUUGAUUAAUUUGACGAGUCUAGUUGUAUUACUCUUUCUCUAGAUCCUUUUAAUUGCCGAAAUGGUGGAGUUGGAACGGAUUUAUUUGGAAUUUUUUUGAAUAAAAUUGUAGUGCUUUUUUCUUAAUAUGAUAAAUGUGAGAUAAAAAAGUGAUUAAAAAAUAAAAAAUAAAUUUAAAAAUGUUUUUAAGAUGUGAGUUUAAAAAAAAAAGAAAAAAAGCUAUCCAAAUAAUUGGAGGAGUUGGAAGCUCUGUCGGUGGACUGGUUACAUCUCCACUCCUACGUCGUAACGGCUAUAAAAGAGGUUACUGUCGUCAAUCUGUAUAUCCCUAAUUUCAUACUCUCACUACGGUCUUCUAAAAUAAAUCGAGUUUUGCACUAAUAUCAUCUUCAAAUUCCCAUUAUACCCCUAUGACCAAACCCAAGAAACACUUGAACACACGCGGGACUUCUGCAGUCUCACGUGCACCCGCGGCUCCGGUCCGAAGAGAUUACGUAUUUAAAAUGUACCUAGUUCAGUUAACCGUGGAAUUUACAAUUCAAUUAGUUGCUCUGUUCAUCUGCUCCACUGUCUCUACAGUGUGCUUUCAAUGACCUUAAUUUUCUCGGAUCAAAAGUAAACUCCUUUCCAGUUUUGCCACGUUCCCCUUUCUACUCUUUCUCCUCGUCUUCUCAUCUUCAUCUUCAUAAAGCAACCUAAACUUGAACAAACUUUUAAAGUUGCACUAGUAGUUAACUACCUCAGAGCAGAAACAGAGAACCCUCUUCAGCUAUGGCAAAUCGCCUUUUUACGUGGGCUUUCAUUAUAAUUUUCUUCUUCCAACUAAAUCAUCUCUCAAGUAAGUUUCUCAGUUCUGGUAUUACUCUGCUUUUAGUUAAAAAAUGGAGUACAUGAUUUUUACUAAUUAGAACUUGCUUAUUUUUUAGAGCUUGGACAACAGGUAGUUGUUGAACUUGAAUUAUUUACUGGGCUUUGUAAUUAUUGGCAGGGUCAGAAUCAUUUAUCGGCAUAAAUUACGGCCAAGUAGCAGAUAAUCUCCCGUCCCCUGAUGCUACGGCUAAGAUGCUGCAGUCUACUUCAAUAGAGAAAGUUCGGCUGUACGGGGCAGACCCGGCUAUUAUCAAAGCAUUCGCCAAUACAGGAAUCGGAAUCAUGAUUGGAGUUUCCAACGGCGACAUCCCGGCGAUGGCUACGGACCCCAGCUUUGCUAAAAAUUGGGUUAAUUCUAAUGUUAGUCCGUUCUAUCCGGCGAGCAAGAUUGUUCACAUCAAUAUUGGCAACGAGGUGCUGUUAUCCGGUGACCGGAAUCUGAUGACUCAGCUGUUGCCGGCGAUGCAGAAUCUUCAAAAUGCCUUAAAUUCAGCUUCCUUAAAUGGAAAGAUUAAGGUGUCCACGGUUCAUUCCAUGGCUGUAUUGAGGCAGUCUGAUCCGCCGUCUUCUGGCUCCUUUGAUCCCAGCUUCGGUGACUUGAUGAAAGGCUUAUUGGAGUUCAAUAAUGCCACUGGUUCACCUUUGGUGAUCAACCCUUAUCCUUUCUUUGCGUACCAGAGUGAUCCCAGGCCCGAGACCCUGGCUUUCUGCUUGUUUCAGCCUAACUCGGGCCGGGUUGAUUCAGGCACCAAGAUCAAGUACACAAACAUGUUUGAUGCUCAGGUUAGUAAAAGCAACACAGCUUCGAUUUUUGGUGGGGAGGAUAGAACUUUCUUUAUCUGAUCAAGAAAAGAUUAGACCACAUGUGGGGAGGGUAACGAAGAGCGAAGACUUCAUUGAAUAAAUAUUGUUCACUUGAAUGAGCUUUGAUACAUAUUACUAUUAAGAGGUAUCAUAUCUUAAACACUAUAUGAUGUGUAGGAUUUCUUUUUCCCCUUUUAAGGAAACUGUACGAGGUUACAGACUCAAAGCUUCAACUAGUUGUUGUUGUGUUAGGUGGAUGCUGUUAGAUCUGCCUUAAAUGCUAUGGGUUUCAAAGGAGUUGAGAUUUUGGUAGCUGAGACUGGUUGGCCAUAUAAGGGUGACAGCAAUGAGGUUGGCCCGAGUUUAGAGAAUGCCAAGGCUUACAAUGGCAACUUGAUUGCACACCUAAAGUCUAUGGUCGGAACACCAUUGAUGCCCGGAAAAUCAGUUGAUACAUAUCUUUUUGCAUUGUACGAUGAAGAUUUGAAGCCUGGACCGGGUUCAGAGCGAGCAUUUGGGCUUUUCAAGCUGGAUAUGACAAUGAAUUAUGAUGCAGGAUUUUCGAAGACCAGUCAGGUGAUUUCCAGACGAUUGAAACAGAAACCUAAUUAAUUGCUUAGUUUGUACUUUAAUGACUUAGUUGAUUUGCUUCUAUUCCUCGUUUAGACCAGGGUUCUAAAUGUUUGUGCAACUGACUUAAUUUCUGAUGAUUUCCUGAACUCAAAACGAUUAUCUCCAUGUGGGUCUCUUGUGGUACAUACAUCUUUGCUGGUUCCGCGUAACAAGCUUAGCUUUGCUUAGGUAAUCCCUGAAGAGAUAGCCACCUACCAAACGAAAAAGUUUCCAUUGGAGUGUGCAAUCUGUAUUCACUUGUUGGAUACCUGCAAGUCUUUUUGGAAAAAUAGUGGAUGAAAGUGAAAAUUUGCUGAAUUUAUAGUCUAUUCCCAAAAGUGAUCAGUGAAAAAAUGAUACUAAUUGACAAAAUAAUACUGUACUUCUAAGCUGGACUGGGAUAAGUACAGCACAAAAUGCAAAAUCUUAUCUUUACGCAGUGAUAACUUUCAGGAGACUGUGAUCUGUCUACAUUGGGGGAAGCUCCCUUACCUUUAGCGUUCUUGACUUCUAUAACUGAAGGCUUCCCUCUUUUUUGGUCUAGUUUUAAUGCCAUCCAGAGCUACAAGUUCGUUCCAGAGAAAAUGCUUAGCUUUAAUAUCUUUCUCUGGAUUCUGGAAUGACACACGUUACUUUAAUUGUGAAGGCUCCUUCAAAUGCAAAGAAUCCUGCAACUCCUACAAUUCCUACAACUCCAGCACCAAAGGCGAAGAAGACUGUCUGGUGUGUGCCUAAGGCCGGGGUGUCAGAUGCCCAGUUGCAGGCAAAUUUGGAUUAUGCUUGUAGUCAUGGAACAGAUUGCAGUUCAAUUCAACCUGGUGGGGCUUGUUUUGAGCCAAAUACUGUAGCAUCACAUGCCACCUAUGCUAUGAACCAGCUGUACCAAACUGCCGGCAGAAAUCCAUGGGAUUGUGAUUUUUCACAGACUGCCACCCUCUCAACCACUAAUCCUAGUAAGUUACUGGAUUUGAACAACUUUAAACACUUGUUUGGGCGUGCAUACAUUCUGGGCCAAGGACCAUACUACAGUUCUACUUUUAGCUGUGAGAAAAUUUUCUGCUUAACAUUUCUUAAUCAGUCAUGUUCUUGAUGAUACUUAACAGUUUCAUGGAUAAUUUUAUGGUCGCUGCUAGUUAUCGGUUUCACAGAGUUAGACUUACCUCUAUAGGGAUAAUGAGCUAGUAUCGAAACUGAUAACUGAUAUUCAUCUUUAGCACGAGCUACGAACUUUUCAGGGGCUGACUUAAUAUCAUCAAAGAAGUAGUGUUUAUGAUUUCCCCAUUUCUACUACUAUAACAAUCUGAUCAUCAGGUGAAAUGAGGAAUACGAAAAAGGAAGCCAUGCAAACAAACCUGUCCCAUUCAAAUAAAUGCUCCUCUUUGAUCUACUUGUCGCAUUUUUCAGGGGCUGACUAAGCUGGUUUCAUGGCCUUAUUGUCUAUGCUAACUGAAUUUAUUCUUGAUUCUGAACCUUUUGCAGGCUACAAUGCUUGUCAAUAUCCUGGUGGAGAGGCCUAAGAGUCCAGAGGAAUCCAAUUCAGUUGUUGGAGUAGCUUUUGAGCAACGGUGGCUAGCACAGAAAUUCUGAUUCUUGGGUUAGUGGCUUGAGGUAUAGUAUUUGGUUUGGAGUGGAAUGAGAGUCCCACGGUUCUAGUAUGGGUAUCUGCGUGGGGAAGGAAUCUGCCUGAUAAUUGUAAUUUGUAAAGGCUCGACUUGCCUAAUAUGUUGUUGCCCUGCUUGUGCUGUAGUUCACUGUUUCAAUAUUUAUGUGGAAUAGAUUUCUUUACAUCUACUAUAUAUAUCAGAAAUUUGCACCCUGUAAAAUUGUCGCGCAUAAGUAGUUUAUUUUAGAAUUAUUAUCACAACAUUAAAAAAAGGAAUGCUACAAAAUAUCACCUUAUCCUGUAAUUAUGGCUUGAAACUUUCACUUCAAUUUUACCAAUUUCAUAUGUACCGUGGAAAAAUUGCCUUCUCCUGAAUGUCUCAGUGUACACCUCUUCCUUUCAUGUAAAGGUAAUAUUUUACAUACGCUUGAAAAAGAGGAUCAUAUUUUAGUGUGUUUGGAUUGUCAAAUUAUUCUAAAUAAUAUUUUGCUUGUAUCAUAAACAUAUUUCUCAAUUCACUUUUUUAUAUUUUCAACUACUUUUUAUCUCACAUAUAUCACAUCACAAAAAGUGCUACAGUAAUUAUUCCAAAUAUACUCUAUCCAAACGAAUUUUACGGCCAAAAUCUUGAAUAGGAGUUAUGUUACCCUUUUCAUACACCAUUUGAAUACAUGAAAUCUGCCCAUUAUAGAUAAAAAGUAAAAGACCAGAUUAUAAUCAUGUGCAUGAGAAUUGUCCCACAAAAAUUUCAUACAAAUAUUUCUUGAACACAAAUGUGUUUCUUGUGAAUUUUGACUAACCAGAACAGCAUUGCCACAGUUAUUACAGCAAUAAAUUUUGCACACUACGAAAGGAAAAAAAAUUUCUCUGCAUCAUUUUGUAUGUUGUGUUUAAGGGUAACAAAUUUAGACAAUACUAACACACGAUCCGUUAUCGUCCAGCGGUUAGGAUGUCUGGCUUUCACCCAGGAGACCCGGGUUCGAUUCCCGGUAACGGAAAUCUUGCAUGUUUUUUCCUCAAUUUUUUUUAAGGACACCAUCGCAAACCCAAAACAGUCAAAAUCAACUCUUGUUCGUCCCCUGAUUCGACCGGGAGACUGUGGGCGCAUUCUGAAAUCACCGUAAACGACAACGUCUAGUUGCACGUCAAUUUUAACUACCACCGUAAACCGUCCAAAUCAGUCAAAAUCAGCACCGCCCCAUCCACAUAAAGUGGAUACCAAUAUUGACAACGAUCCCCUCGCGUCCUAUCAGUUGUGGCACGUGACACUCCCGUGAUCAGCCCCCAUGCGACGUCGUUGGCUAGGUGGCUUUUUGACCUUUCCCAAGCUAAAGCCAUCGGUUCCGACUGCACGCCAACCAGUCUAUUCCAUCAUCGUCUUCCUCUGUUAUUUCAUUUUUCUUUUUCAACAGUCUUUCACCAAAAUUUCUGUUUGGCUUGGAGGUAGCUAUUACCGCUUUCAAUCAAACCACCACAGGUACUCACCCCAAAACGAUCCUUUUCUGUAUAGUUUUUUUUUUAAAAUAAUUGGUUUGACUAAAAAUGUGCAAUAUGUGAUUUCUGCUGCUGAUCAAUGGUUCCCUGAUGCCCAAUGGAAUUUCGUACAUUUUCUGUGCAUUGAGGUUUUUGAUCGUGUGGGAUUCUAAGUCACAAAAUUGAUUUGAAACUGAUGCAGAUGGGUUCAUCUUCUCUAAUUGGCGACAGCGAGUCAUGGAAGGAUUUGAAGGUAGUGAUUAACAUGUCAUGCCACGUUUUCUUUAUUUUCCUAUGGUUAGCUGAUUAUGGAUGCAUCUGCAGUUCCAUGUUGAGGAUAUUAAGAAGACUCAUUUGCGCGAAUUGAUGGCCGAUACUGAACGUUGCAAGUCAAUGAUGGUGUAUGAUCCUGAUUUAGCUUCCCCCAUCAACCUACACUUUUUGUUGAUUUCCUUUUGAUUUUGUUAGCUUUGAAAAAGUUGAAUUGGCUUUUGCAUGUAUUGAGUUAAAUAAGCUGUUUUUAAGAAGUUACUGGUGUUCGAUAAGUGAUCAGUCGUCAUGUUAUAAAAUGCGUGCAGCGAGUUUGAUGGUAACCUGCUUGACUACUCAAGACAGAGAGCCACUCUUGACACCCUGAACAAGCUCUUGAGUUUAGCAGAGGUGAAUUUGGAAACCAUGUUUUUUUUUUUAAGUUGGAUAAGUUAUUUAUAAUUUACUUAUCUCUUUUUGUGAAUAAUGCAGGCAGCACAUGUUAAAGACAAGAUUAACAGGAUGUUCAAUGGGGAGCGGGUGAGUAUCAUUUCAUAUAUCUGAUAAAAAAGUACCUGCGUUUGAGCUAUAUUUCAUAUAUUUGCAUGGUUAGUUAUAAUUCUUACGGUAGGAUUGUAAUGUUUAUUUGGUGGCAUCUUCAGAUAAACAGCACAGAGAAUAGGUCUGUCCUUCACGUAGCACUGCGUGCUCCUAGGGAUGCAGUUAUUAAAAGUGAUGGGAAGAAUGUGGUUCCUGAUGUUUGGGGAGUGCUUGACAAGAUCCGGGAGUUUUCUGAGAGGGUCCGCAGUGGUGCUUGGGUAAUUUCCGUUUUUUCUCUGAGCCAUUUAUGCAUAUAUAAUGCCUAAAUACUAACUCAUGGGCAUACAAUUGUAGGUUGGAGCCACGGGAAAGCCACUGAAAGAUGUUGUUGCUAUUGGCAUUGGUGGUAGCUUUUUGGGCCCUUUGUUUGUCCAUACCGCCCUUCAAACAGGUUUGCACAUUUCACUUUGGUAUUAAAACUUCUUAUUCCAAUAUUUCUUUGUUAUAUUUCCUGUUCAUUUGGUUGACAUAUCCAUAACUCUAAUAACAAGAAGAUGCUAAACGUUUACUGUUUAUCUUUUGCAACUUAUAGAUUCAGAGGCUAUUGAAUCUGCUAAGGGACGCCAGCUUCGUUUGUAAGUGACCGCAUAAAUUAGUGUUUUUAUUAUUGAUAUUGGAGGACAAACCUAUAAAAUCGUUAUUGCACCAGAAAGUUUUCUAAUUUCUCAUAUCUUGGCACUUUCGAAUUUUAAAUUUGACGUUGAAAUUUUAAUCAAGUUAUAUUGCUCUAGCUUCUAGAAUAAAAGGCAUAAAUUCAUCUAUUUCAGCUCUGUUUGGGACUUUUCUCUUUAUUUAGAACAUGAUGCAAGACAGUUUGGGCUUUUGGAAUAAUAAAACUGUAUUUACCCAGCUCAUCAAGUUGACAGACCAGUGGAGGUGCAUGCAGGACAACUUGGGGGGAUGUGAAGUCAAAAUGAACUAAUAAAUGAGUGAUGACCCAAAAUUGCAGUCUUUCUCCUUCCUUCUUUUUGGUUGGGGUUGGGAGAAGGGGGUUUUUGUUCUAAUUGGGAGGUAAACUAGGUAUUGUUGCAGGAUCAAUUCAUUAUUAGUAAGAUCAGGUGGUUAAGAAAUUUCUUACCUGAGGGUUUGACCUGAUAUGGCUGAACUGUGCAUGUCAUCUUGAAAUUGGUUUCUAAGGUGGCCAAUUUUUGCUUCAUUGCUCUUGGUUAGGGUUCAGUUGUAAAAAUUUAUCUCAUUUUCAUCUUCUAAUAGCUUAAGCUACUCAAGAACGGUAUAAUGCUAGUGGUUGAGGAUGUCAAAGUUGAGAGAAGAAAAAGAAGUGAAAAGCAGAAAAGAAGAAUAGAUUGGAUUAGUUCAACAAUGAUUAAAUUCUCAGGUAAAUAUGGAUAACAGUUUGCACUCUGGAUGCCUCAAGCAGUGGUCAAAUUCAUAAACAAAUUACCAUCAGUGAAGAAAAAGUUGAUCUUACUCUCAAAUAAUAUAGUGCUCUAACUUACAGCAAUCUUGACAUUGAUCAUCCCUUGCUCAUUUGCAUUUAAAUUCCAGCUAUAUGGCAUAAUUUGGACAAUCCUUGAUACC
rnacentral:lncRNA from 1 species